AUGAACUUUGCCAGUUUUAAAGCACUGGUUCAAAGUUUUCUUUUUUUUAAAAAAAGGGUGAACCAAACAAAACACAUCUGGGAGCCAUAUUUGGUCCUCAGAUGACAAGCUUGCAAUGCCUUGUUUAUAUAUUUGUCUCUCACUUGGUUUCUCUCAUACUUCAUCUCUCCAAAAGCAGUAAUUGCAUUACUCUUUCUGUAUUCUCAGGGCCCAGGAUACUGACCAACUCACAAAAAGGGUCAGGAAAUGUGUGUUGAAAUGAAUAGUACAUUUUGGAAGUGGUCUACUUUGGCAUUAUAGUCCAUGUAGGUUUAUUUGAGGCCCAGCUGGUGACAGCUUUCCAAUUCAAGUUAUGAAGAGCUGGGGAGAGAGCAUAUUUUGACAGCUGAUCAUAAUUCUUGGAAUAUUUUGUCCCAGGGCCCUGGUCUGCCGGGUCUUAGAACUGGGUGCAAAGUCACAUCUUGAAAUUGAUGUUCACGUGAAUUUGAGUUCUUAGUACAGGAAUAGAAUCUAUUCUCUGCCCUGAAGUGAUUUGAUUGUGAAAUGUGUAGCUUUACCAACAAGAACGAAUGAAGUUUAUGUAUACCAUUUAGGGAGGUUUUAAAUUUGGCAGGAAAGUUCCUAAUAAUACAACUUGUUUGGACUUUUCUAUAGAUAAAUUGGGACCCUAACCUUUACCCCAGGAGUGGACAGUGUCAGAACAUGAUUAACCUCUAAGACCGGUAGUCAUCUGUUUUUCAGUGCCAGCAUUACAUGGUAGAAUUUUGUUUUUUGUUUUUUGCAAACCAGUGUAGCCCUUCUUGCUUUCCUGCCUGCAUAAUGGAUUGUUCUGCAUUGCAUAAUUCAUGUCGGGCACCAGGUUUGCUGCACUAGGAUGAGGAAAGGGAUUCAGGUAAUUCAGAUGAGAAAUUUAGUCAGUGCAGUUUUUUUUCUAUCAAGGAGCCAAGAAAGGUCCUCUAUUAAAUUAAAACUAUAAAAUUGUCAGCAAAAGUCCAAUGCAGGGUUAAAAUCUUACUUGGUUUGGACUUGUACUGUGUGUCUUUUCUCUCCUUCUCUAGUCCCCUUUCCCCCUCCAUUUCCAUAUCAGAAUGGAACAUUCCAAUAGACUGUCUAGGAAUUCAAAUUUUAGAUAGGAUAUUCUAUAUGUAAUCCAGAACUUCUGAUGUGAGAUGCAACUUAGGAGAGUUUUCAAGUUUAGACUACUGUAUGCCCCGAUCCACUUCCUUCAUUGUGGUCACUGCUUUUGGAGCACCCAGAAGUCCCCUAGCUUGGCGUGAAGUUUGACUUCUUUCUGCUACUAUAAAAUGCUCAAGGAUAAUGUGGCACAAAAAGCUUAUAUUUCAUGGUGUUUCAGGCUGGGCGAUCCCAGGUUAAAUUUCUGUGCUUUCGUCUUUGUUAAAGAGUUUAGCCAUGUCACAGUGCAAAUGCACAGUUAAGUUCCUCCACAGUGUAUAUGAAACCUGUUUUAUUUCAGUUAGGAUUAGCAGAGCACUCUAGCUGACCCUAAGUGAACUCUAGGUACAUAUGUGAUAAAUGCAUAUUGCUAUAUGCCACUGAGGUUUCGUGAUUGUUAAUUAUAUGGCAUUAUAAUGGCAAUAGGUAACAGAGACAAUGAGAUUCCAUGUUCGAAUGGCUGACACGUGUCCAAAAGCUAUGGGUUAAUUUGGGACUUUGAAUCUUGAGUUUAGGCAAAGAUGGAAAAAAAUCCCCAGUAAUUGUUCAUUCCAGUGUAAGGACAGCAGAUGAGACUGUUGUUUCGGAUACCUACAUCCAAGGAAAUGUCCUGGCUUCUGCCUAUUUGAAUCUAUGAGCCACAUUUAUUAACCCUAUAAAUUUAUUUUUCUUUUAAAAUUAAAAAGAGAAAACUUUUGAAGACACAAAGUGUUAUCUCAAUAUUGAUAUAUUAUACAUGUGUCAUUAUUUAUAAGAGAAAAAUCGGGAAAAUAGGAUGCCCAGCAAAGGAAAAAUUCAUGUAGCUGUUGCCUAGGUAUGUCUCUUCAACUCCGUGGGAAAAUACUGCCAUAGGGAAGAAAGGCCCUGGCUUUCUUAAGCAAUGUGAAUUUGUUUCUGCGACAUUUUAGCUAAAAAUGUAAGCUCAAGAUAUUCUGUGUGAAAUAAAUUAUCCCAAAGAAAGAUAAUUGUGAGAAGAAGCCAUUAAUGGGAAUAAGACAGCUGGUUGUAAGGAUUGGAGGCUUUUUUUUGGUGGAAGGAGCUUAUCCAUGGGGUUUAAUACAACAUGGUGAGUCACCCUGUUGCCUGAAUUCCAGAGGGGAAAGAGACAUUCGGGAAAAGGCUGCGGGGGAAAUUUGCAGUCCUGUGCACCUGUUACCAGGCACUUAUAUUCACCUGAUGGCUGCUAACAGAUUGCAGGCACAGCUUCUUGAAGAAAAUCAUCAACUUUGAACACAGUACCCCACACAUUGGAUUUGGGUGAAUGGAAAGUAUAUCAGAAUUACCUGGGAGAGUUUUCAAGUUAUAGUCACCGGGGCGUGGCUUUAUUAGUGAUUCUGACUCAUGUCUCCCUGCUCAGCACAGUCCUGAUACUCCACCUCCAAAGAGUGGUCCACAGAACAGCCACUUACAUAGAAUCAGGCAGGGUGUUUGUUAAAUAUGGGGAUUACUAGACCCCAUCCCAGACCUACGGGAUCAGAAUCCUGGGGGUGUGGACUCUGUGAAUCCAGUGUUUAAAGGUGCUCUGGCUGAAUGUGGCAAGUCCAGCGUGUGAUGCUCCAGGCUCUAAAAUAUUGGCCUUUCUUCCAGUUAUCUAACAAGUGAUGGUAACAGACCCCACUGUACACUCGAAUGAACACUGAUUGUGGGAGGCAGUCAAGAAUAGAAAGACAAAUUGAGUUAUUUGAGCUGCAAGUUCUUCUAGGGGGCAAAUGCUAGGUGUGUGCAUAUGUGUUUGUGGAAGUUCAUUUUCUUGCUUCAGGGUUUUAGUAAUUUAGAGGGACCUUUUCCUCUGUACCAUGCUUGCCCUUUUAAGGCAGAAAGGGAACUCCGGUGGAAAGACAGCAUUGACUAAUAGAACUUUCUGUGAUGAUGGAAUAUUCUUUAUCUACACUGUGCAAUAUUUUAUUCCCUAGCCACAUGUGGCAAUUGUGUACCUGUAAUGUGGCUGAGGAACUGAAUUUUACAUUGUACUGACACACAGUUUAAAUCUAUCUGCUUGUGGCUAGUGUCUACCGUAUUGAAUGGCACAGAAGACAGUGCCUCCACAAAUAGUGAGGACAGUUACAGAUCUUUGGUGUCACAUCCAGCUGCUCCAAGACACGGUUGGAGUGAUACGUUGGGUUGAUGCUUCUUAACUUUGAAAGCUUGGGGUAGAUCAUGUUUUAGUGUCCUUUGGCCUUUUUCUUUUUAAUCGGUACAUUUACCGAUGACAGUUUUCUUAAGCUCAGCAUAUGGUAGUGCGCUCAUUGUCCCAGGUGAAGUAGGUUAGGGGUGAUGUUUUCUCCUGUUGACUGCUCUGUCUCCAGCACCUGUAAUGAGUGAAUAUAAUGGAUGACUGAAAAGUGAUUUCAACUUGAGUAUUUUAUGCAGGGUGGGAGACUCUGUGUUACCCCGAGGUUGUAUAGUUAAACUGUUGUAUCACUUGAUGCUUUUGGUUAUAAUUAAUUUAAAAAAUGCAACUCAAAUGGCUUAGGUAGCAAAGGAGAUGAACUGAUGCAUAUAACUUAGAAUUUCAGAAGGAUGGAGCUUCAGGUAUGGCUCAAUCAGCGUAUGGGUCCAAUUUCUCUGUAAUUUGCUUCAGAGCUGCCGAUAGUCUGUAUUGACUACCUGUGAAGAUACAACCUACAUAUCUGUAAUGGACAGCCUUGAUUCUCUCAGAGCUGCUGUUUUCACCCUCCUCCUGUCUUGAGCCUCAAAAUGGCUCUUCUUUUUGAGAUAGAGUCUCGCUCUGUCACCGAGGCUGGAGUGUAAUGAUGUGAUUUUGGCUCAUUGCAACCUCCAGGUUCAAGCGAUUCUCCUACCUCUGCUUCCCAAGUAGCUGGGAUUGUAGGCGUGCACCACCAUGCCCUGCUAAUUUUUGUAUUUUUAAUAGAGAUGGAGUUUCACCAUGUUGGCUAGGCUGGUCUCAAACUGAGCUCAAGUGAUCCGUCUGCCUCAGCCUCGCAAAGUGCUGGAAUUAUAGGCGUGAGCCACUGCGCCCGGCCAAGAUGGCUCUUAUUUGCAGAUGGAUAACAGGGGCAAACGGGUGAUAUGCCUUGUUACUCACAGCCAGGGAGAGAGAGACCCAGAGGAACGUCAUGUACUGUGUGCUGAAUGCCUUAGUUCUGCAAUCCCUAAUCAUUGAUGCUUAUGCAAAUUGGUGCCCACUUGCAGUAACGGGUGGGGUCAGUCCUUAUCUGGGCCUUUUGACUGUUGCACUGGGAGCAAAACAUGGUUCCCUAAGGAAGAGGGAGGUGCUGUUGAGAAGAGAGAAGCCAUGGAAUAGAUGCCAGGUCAAGUAACCAACUGAUCCCCACUUCUGACAGCUACCUCCAAUGGGAUGGUGGAUUUAGAGAAAGGUCAAAUUGGACAGGUGCCAUGGGAAAUUUAAUUGCAAUUGAGUAUGGAUGAGGUAAGAGUGGACUCCUUGGAUAUGAGUUUUAACUUGACCCGAUGAGUUAAAAAAUACAGCUCCCAUUUAUUGAUCAUUUGUUACCUGAGCUCUUGUCAAACUCUCCACAGACACUAUCUUAUUAUUAUUAUUUUUGCAACAACUUUGCAAGUAGAUAAAAUUUAACCCAUUUUAGUGAUGAAGAAACCAAGUCUUAGAGAGGUGAAGUAAUUUGCUUUAACUUAACAGCUAGUAAACUGCAAUUCUAAUCUGGUUCUAAUUGCAGAGCCUGUGCUGUUAAAUAGUAUUCAAGAUCAGUGGUUUUCAACUGAGGUAAUGUUGCCUUUCCAGGGAACAUUUGGCAAUGUCUGAAGACAGUUUUGAUUGUUACAUCUGGGAAGUGCCACUGGUAUAUAGAGGGGUAGGGGUCGGGGUACUGUAAACAUCCUUUAAUGCACCAGAGAGCCCACUGCCAACAAAGAUUUAUCUGGCCCAAAUGCCAAUAGCAGCAAGAUUGGGAAACCCUGCCUUCUAGUUCUCACAGAAUUCCCCAUAGAUUCACUCACCAUCUCCUGAGCUCACUUUAUUUUCUUCUUAGCUCUCAUCACCAUCUGAAGUUAGCCUGCCUAUUAUCUGUUCCACUGGAGUGUAAUCACUUGAGAGCAGGAAUCUGAUCCAUAAUCCAUGUAUUCUACUCUCCUUAUGGCCAGGCAGUACCUGGCAGCUGAGCAGCAUAAACAUUUGUGGAAUGAAUGAGUGAAUGAAUGAACCAAUCAAGAUGGCAUCCUUCUUGGUGUGGGUAGGUACCUUCCAAUUGGAUAUGGCUCAGGGAAGAUACGAGAAUUUACCGGAAGCCUUGAACAGUUCUGGGGAACAAUGGAGACACACUGUGGCUUCCCAAAGGGAAGAGCGAGAGGUGAUCAGACAGCCAGUUCUCAUUCUUGCAAAACUUGACAAGCAAUGACUUGAAAGAGGAGGAUGGGAGGUAAGUAAUGAGACCAACCCAUGCUGUGCUGAGUGAGGUGAGAGUCAGAGCUCAGGUGGCUGAUUAAGACCCCGAGCACUCAGAAUGCAGAAGGCUGCAAAGAGGGUCACCAGCCCAUCAGCGGCCACCAAAGGCUGUACCAAGUCCACCUGGAACCUAGCCACAAGGGAUGGUGAUCAUGAUCCAUGUGAGGCAAGAUAGUUUACUGGUUACAGUGGUCACUGGCCUAUUUUCAAUUCCUUCACCGGCCCUUACCGGCUGUGUGACCUUGAUCACUUGCUUAACCUCUCUGUGCCUCAGUUUCUGCAUCUAUUAAAAAAAAAAUGCCUGGCUCUUUGUGCCUGGCUGGAGGCCACUUAGCCUAGAAUUUUGGAAUCCCAGGGUUUAACUCCUGGCACUGAAUACCCUUGUUGGAAGGUAGAGAAUGGGAUGUCACCUCUGGGGUACUAGAGUAUGGCCAAAUGCUGUUAACCAGGCAGUCAGUCUUUGGAAGAAAAUACUCUGCUUUUACAUCCCCUGGUGGUAGCAGAAAGUUACACGUGUGAAAAUAUGCAGGGGCUGCUCCUGUGUGUGUUGGGGUGAGGGUGUAGUGGAGGUUAAAGGUAUUUUGUUCCAGCCAGGCUUGUAAAAGAAAACAACAUUAAAUGGGCAUGUGCAGACACCCCCCCCCCCCACCAAAGUGUCCUUCCUUAUCUUUGUCUCCUGGUUGUGUGUUCAUGAAGCACAACCACCAAAAAUUGUGGACCGCAUCUCUGACCAAGAUCAAAGGAGGAAAAAUAAAUGAGUCCAAGACAAAGCAAUUUACAGAUAUUAAUUCCCAAAGAAGAGUAAAGAUGUUUGCUUUUUCUCUCAGCUUGUUGGUUCUCAGCAUUCUCAUUGUUUAACUAUUCUAAUGGUUUCUGCCUCCUUCUUUGUGUUUUCCUAAGAGUCCUUUCUUUUCAAAGUUGGGAUGACUUCCAGCUCUCACCUGCCCAAUCUGUCCUGUCACCUGGCUGUUGGGCUUCAUGUAUGAAAGUGAAAACCGAGGAGAGUAGACCUAUACGGAUGAUAACAAUAGUGGAGCUUGAUUUAGUGCCUCUCUACUCAGGCUUUGCACUGAGGGCCACACGUGCACCAUCCUUCAUCCUUAGCACGUGCUGUGAAGUGUGUGUACCAUCCUCUCCAGUUUAGCGGUCAGAACCCUGAGCCUUGGAAGUUGUUACUUGUCUGAGAUUAGGUGACAGCAGAUUAGGUGACAGCGGUGGGUUUCCUCUAGCUUGGUGUUCGUCAGGAGGCUGCAUUGUUGCCUGGUGACAGGUGGCAGGAUCCCCUUCAGGGUGUGAUGUACCAUUGUGUGAAUUAAGGGUAGGUGACCCCCUGGAGUUUGAUCUGAAGAAAGCUGAGGCCAGGCACCCUUCCUUGCACCCUCCGUUGGGAGGGAGACGUUGGUGCCUUGGCGAUGGUUUCACUGCGAGCCUGGCUCAUUGCAGCGCGGAGCUUCCCGGUUUUUCCAUCUGCAGCCGCGCCCUGCGCGUGUUGAGACACAAGUGCUUGCGUCUUCCCGCACUGACUAACUCCUACUUUCUCCUUGGGGUUCCCGGCAGUGCAACUUGGCACUUCAUGAACGUAGCAAGGUUCUAUGAGACUUAAACAAAAUUGUGGUAAAAUAUACGUAACAUAACAUAAAAUUAACCAUUUUAAUUAUACAAUUAAGUGGCAUUAAGUAUAUUCAGGUUAUUAUGCAGUUAUUACCACCAUCCAUCUCCAGAACUUUUUCAUCUUCUCCUACUGUGCCUAUUACCAACUCCCCAUUCCCCUUUCCCCUGGCCCCUGGUGACCUCUAAAUUUCUUUCUCUGUGAAUUUGACUACUCCAGAUACCUCAUAAAAGUGAAAUCGUACAGUGUUUACCCUUUUGCGACUGGCUUAUCUCAAUUAGUGUAAUGUCCUCAAGAUUCAUCCACGCUGCAGCGUGUCAGAAUUUCCUUCCUUCUAAAGUCUGAAUAAUAUUCCAUUGUGUAUGUACCCCAUUUUGCUCACCCUUCAUCUGUUGAUGGAGAUUGGGUUGUUUCCACCUUGUCCUAUUUGACUUUUAUCUUCCCACUCCCCUUGGAAGCAGGUGGAGUCAGAUUUUCUUGAUGUCCUGACCUCCUCCAUUCUGCUUUUCUUUCUUGCUCAGUUUUGCCUGACUUUCCCUGGGUCUCUCCGGAGCACCACUUACCCAAAGUCUCCAGCUCCGGUGCUGGGGCACAUAUUGCCAGAGUAGAGCCUUGCCAGCAACGUGUCCUCGUCGCUUCUUUGCAAAGGGUGUGUGUAUUGGUCAGCUGUUCUUCGGUCCCGCCAUCAGCUUUGACCCAGUCGACCCUUCCACCUUUCUGGCUUGGAGGCUGUAUGCUCAGUAAUUAUGUGCACAGGAUUUGAAUUUCAUGUAGUCCGGGUUCAAAUCUGGUCCUGCUGCUUCCUUGCUAUGUGGCCUUGGGUACAUGUUUUUACUUCUGUGAAGUAGCAGUAAUAAGAGCACAUAUCUUAUAUGAUUGCUACAGGGAUUCAAUGAAAUGAUGCAGUCAACUCUCGGCAUGGAACACAGAGCAAAGGCAACACUGAAUGACUGAUAGUUAUUACCAUAUUAAUUUUGUCAGUUUUCCUCCUUUGAAUCUGAUCACUUGAUUCUAGGCUUGUGGAGGCGCUGAAUAGACUUCGUAAUUGACUCAAAACACUUCUGUUUUAACACUCUGGGUUUUUAUCUUCUUUCCUGGCACCACUACCUCCUUUGAGAUUUUAUAGAGCUGAAUUUGUUGGACCAAAUUAUAUGGAGCAUAUUUGAUAGAAACACAUUCUAAGUAUACUGUCUUUAUGUCCUCAUGUUAUUUCCUUUCGAUUUCUUGAAGUCUCAAUUUAGUCACCACUCUGUAGGAAGCUACAAAUGAUGAUAGAGCAAUUAAGUGAUCCCUGAGUCUUUAGUGUUCUAGAAUGAUUGAUGUACAGAUAGAAAGAGAGAAAAUGCGUAUAGACAUUUUCCAAUAAACUUUAUGUCAGGGUAGUUUCCUGGUUUGGUCAAUUUUUCUUUCUGUUGAUUAUUCCAGUGUAGAUGGGAUAAAAAUUAAGCUACUAGACAUUUAUUGCUUAUAAACUUUUUGGCAUAUUUAAAAAAUAUCAUCUAAUUGUUAUUUUAAGGCAGUAGCUAUAGAAUAUCUAGCAUAUAUGUACCCCUUACUCUAUGCCAUCCUUUGCUGGAAGUGCUUUUUAUCAACUCAUUUACUUCUCAAUCAGCUCUAUGAAAUGUGUUAUAAUCAUUCCCAUUUUUGAGAGUAGGAAAUUGAGGCACAGAGGAGUUAAGAUUUUUUUUUUUCACUGCUGUUAAUGGUAGGCAAAGUUGGGAAACAAACCAGGUUCUUAGGUUCAGGCUGGGAGGGGGUUGGCUGCGUCCACAGUUAUCAAUGAGGAAAUGGAUGCCUGCAGGACGUAAGGUGCUUUACUGGGCUCAGCAGAGCCAGGGCUUUAUAUCCAGGUCUUUUAUAUAUCCAAAGCUUAUUUUUAUUUACCAUAGCUGUCUUAAUUUAUCAAUUAGUACGUGUGUAUUAUGUCUUUGUAUUUCUAUUUUUAUUUUUUAGAUUUUUUUUUUUUUUUUUUGUAGAGACAGGGUCUCACUGUAUUGCCUAGGCUGGUCUUGAACUCCUGGGCUCAAGCAAUCCUCCUGCCUCAGCCUCCCAAGGUGCUGGGAUUACAGGCAUGAGCCACCCUGUCUGGUCUGGGAGAGGGUGCUGGGUGAGGGGAUGGUGGUGGGGCAGGAUUAAACAGUGCUGCAGGCAUUCCCAGAAGGAAAAGAUCAUGUAGCGAUGAUUUGUUGUCAGUUAGGGUUAGAACUGGCCUUAAGGGGAAGGUAGUAUUUGUCUGUAGGAUAUUUAUAGAGAUGGGGUGGAAUGUUAUUCUAAGUGGAGGCAACAGUGGGAGCAAAGGCCUGGAGGCAGGAAAAUUCCAAGUGUACCAUGGACCCAGAGUGUCUUAAGUUAACAUUUAAGAAAAUGACGGAAUGAGAUAGCAUGUGUCCUUUACCAGCCUGGCAGAAUUUCACAAGUGUUUAUUAACUCUUGGUCUUGAAAUGAUUUGAUAAGGCCUCUUUGGAGAGUAUUGAGAAGAACCUAUUAAAAAUGGUAACAUUUUGACCUAGCCUUUCUACCACUAGAAACCUAUUCUUUGGAAAUACUCAAACUCAUAAAAGAUAUAUGUGGGGCUGUGUUCUCUAUAUAGCAUUGCUUGUAAAGACAAAAAUUUCAAGUUGGCUUAUAUGUGUUGUGGGUGGUUGAAAAAUUAUAUGGUAUCUCCCUACAGUGGCUUAUUCUGUAGUCAGUUAAAAAAGUGAGGUGGAUCUCUGUCCUGACAUGUAAACAGAUGAUGAUAUAUUAAAUAAAAAAGUAAGAGACAGCAUCUAUAGGAUGAUCCCAUUGUUAUAUCACAGCUACUGCUGACCUGGUUGGGUAUGCUUGUGUGUGCCUUAAAAAUAAAAAAAGAUCUGGAACAACAAGGAUAUGUUCCCUGUGGCUACCUCUGAGAAGGGUGACCAUAUGUCUCGGUUUGUUUGGGAAAUAUCUGGUUUACACCUGUUGUUCUGGUAUAAUUAUUAAUAGUACCCUCUUUCAGUGUUUGGUGAACUGCUUUGGAUGGUGAAUUAUGUGUUUACCCUACCUUCCUCUGAGGAUUGGAAUUGGGGCAAGAGAAAUGGGAAAUGGGCUGUGACAUAGGUGACUCGUUGGUGUAGUUUACAGCAAGCAGGUAUUAUUUUUAUGAGGGAAAUUGAGGAAGAUGGCCCUGAUACAUUAUGUAGUGGUUCACUGCGGAGCCACCAUUGCAUGGUCUUUAUCAGGGGAGAAGUUACCUUUUUUCUUUUCGUCAGGUGUAUGAGUAUCUCCGUUUUACUUAAAUAAGUCUUCAGUCAAAUCAUUGACGAUGUUUUCAUUGUCUGAGAAAAGUGGGUAGCAUUGGCCCUAACAUGCUUUUUCAAAUACCUAGUGGGGAUGUUUGCAUUUCUUUCUUUCUUUUUUUUUUUUUUUUGAGACAGAGUCUCACUCUGUUGCCCUGGCUGGAGUGCAGUGGUGCGAUCUCAGCUCACUGCAAGCCUCACGUCCUGGGUUCAAGCCAUUCUCCUGCUUCAGUCUCCCGAGUAGCUGGGACUACAGGUGCCCGCCACCACGACCAGCUAAUUUUUUGUAUUUUUAGUAGAGACGGAGUUUCACUGUGUUAGCCAGGAUGGUCUCGGUCUCCUGAUCUCGUGAUCCGCCCACCUUGGCCUCCCAAAGUGCUGGGAUUACAGGCUUGAGCCACCGAGUCUGGCCUCUAUCUUUUUCUUUAAUUUGGUUCCAAGGUAGUUGGAUUGAAGUUCUUUUUUUUUUUUCUUUUUUUUUUUUUAUUUGAGACAGAGUUUCACUGUAUUGCCCAGGCUGGAGUACAGUGGUGCAAUCUUUGCUCACUGCAACCUCUGCCACCUGGGUACAAGUGAUUCUCCUGCCUCAGCCUCCUAAGUAGCUGGGAUUACAGGCAUGUGCCACCAUGCCUGGCUAAUUUUGUAUUUUUAGUAGAGAUGGGGUUUCUCCAUGUUGGUCAGGCUGGUCUCAAACUCCUGACCUCAGGUAAUCCACCCGCCUCGGCCUCCCAAAGUGCUGGGAUUGCAGGCGUGAGCCGCUGUGCCCAGCCAGAAUUGAAGUUCUUCUUUGGGAAAACAGCACACCUUUUUAAAAAAUUUAAAACUGUGACCCUCCCCACCCCUGGGUUCCUCAAACAUAAAUUUAGACACAAUAGGAGUUAAAAUGAUUAAAUGAGCUACAUGCAAACUAUUGACCUAGAGUGGGCUUCAGAGUUGGCUAGGUUCCUCUUUUCUUUGCUUCCCAGUAAAACCCUAGAGGAAAUGGGGAUGGGUGGGAAAGAGCUGCAGUUAAAAAAUAGCAGUGAUUCAGAUUUACCGGACAUUACAGGGGCACUUCUGAUGUGCCAGGCACUGUGCUAGAUGAUUUCACAUCUGUCCCCUUAUUUAUUCUUUUUUUUUUUUUUUUGAGAUGGAGUCUCACCCUAUUGCCCAGGCUGGAGUGCAGUAGCACGAUCUUGGCUUACUGCAGCCUCUGCUUCCCAGGUUCAAGUUGUUCUCCUGCCUCAGCCUCCCAAGUAGCUGGGAUUACAGAUGUGUACCACCAUACCCAGCUAAUUUUUGUAUUUUUAGUAGAGAUGGGGUUUCGCCAUGUUGGCCAGGCUGGUCUCAAACUCCUGGUCUCAAGUGAUCCACUCGCCUCAGGCUCCCAAAUGGUUGUCUGUUUUUAUCUCUCAUCCAUUUCUACCUCUGCUUUUCUGAAAUUAGCUAGUUAUUACUGAGUCUUAAUAUUUUUUUUUUGUUUCAAGGUAAGACUGGUGAUAUGGAACUUUUAAUACUACCUCUUCUCAUAUUUAUAUUUAUAGGAAAAACUUGGAAUGAAUGUUUACUGCAUAAAGUAUAGUUUGUAUUAUUCAUGUUGAGUGGAUCAUGGUGUAAUUCCUUUUUAUUUGCCCUCUGCUAAAAAAAUAAUUUCUAAGAUGUUACUUGAUAACUUGUCCAAGAAAAGUUUACUUAAAAGUUUGACAGAUUAAAGCCUGUAUGCAUCUGGAAGUUUGGUGUUUUGGGUUAACUGAGCAUAGAAUGUUUCAGUGGCUGUCAUUCUUUUGAAUUUGAAGGAUGUAACUUUGAAAUACCAUUUUGUUGCCCAUCCUAACUAAAACAAGCAAAAGCAAAUCGAUAUAGACAAGGUUGUGUGAUGUAGGGGGAGUUACAGCUAAGGAAAAAGGAAGUAUUGGACAUCUGUUGGGUAUCCUAUUGCCCUUUAAAAAAGUUAACUCAUUUUUUUCGCUAGAAUUGCAUUUUACUUGACCUUGAAAAAAGGACAAUCCAAAUAACUUAAUACUAUUACCUGGCCAUACUUCACUAUCUCUCAUUCCAGUUUUUUUUUUUUUUUUUGGUUCAGCAUAUUGUCUGGCUUCCUGGAAAGCAAACUCAGAGAUGAUUACCAUAUAGGACAUUGGUUAGGGAAUGCUUUUGGAAUCAAUUCCUGUUGAAGGAAUUGGGCUGGAGGAGAAGUUAGGCUGUGAAGUCGUCUCAACCAAGGCCCAGCCGACCUGCAGGAAGCUCUGACAUUGAGAUGGUUCUUCAGUAUUGUCCUGGGUUGGGAUGAUAGGGCAAGGCUUGUAUACCCUCAAGUCAACAAGGAUUGGAGGCGGCUGUUCUGGGAAGGCUAUGUGACCUCAGGGAAGGUGACUCUCUGCAGCCAACACAAGUCUUGGAGGGGGAUCCUGGAGGCGGGUGGCAUAGUACAGCAUAGUGUUCACUGCAUGUGGGCAUAUGACAUAGGGGUGUAUGUUUGUGUGUGUGUAAUUGGCUUAAUAAGCACCACCUUCUUCAGUAACAUGACCAAGAACACACAUCUGGGAAGUGGGUGUGCUUGGAUUUGAGCUCAUGUUUGACUAGCUUUCAAACCUAUCUUUUCGUCGCUCUAGGACUGUUGCAACGUUUGUUGUCGAGAAAAGAAUACUUGGGCCGUUCCCUUUCAUUUUCCCUUUGGCGCAUUUAUGUGUGCUGCCAUGUGGGGACACCCUUGAAGUUAGCUGAAUUGGCUUCCUCUGGUAUCUCCAACCUUUUGUCACAGAGAGUUGAAAGGAAAGGUAAAUUCUUUUGUCCUAAAUGAAUCAUCAGCUGGAAGAAAAGUCUGAACUCUAGCCCUCUAUUAUAUUCCCCAGCCAGGGAUGACUUUGGGCAAAUUGGUGUCCCUCCAGUUCCCUGGGAAGGCACUUGACUCAACAGGCCUCUUUCCAUUUAAAUACCACAGGUAACACUUGGCUUCCUCUGAGAAAGCUUUCAAGUCCUGCCCCUUUGCUUACAGCUGGCUGGCAUUCUGUGUACCCACUACGGCACUAGGAUGAGACCGGCCAUAAAAUAUUUGCUCUAUGCUUUUAUCACUGCCUGGAAAUCCUGAGGGCAAAGGUGCUUUGUAAACACCAAGUUGGUAGUGAGUGGUGUGCAGAAAAUUUGGAAAUAAACACAGUUCAGUUCAUGUAGGGGUUAUGGGACUUCUCCAAAUACCACAAACUGGAAAUUCUGAAAAGAAAGUUAGAUUUUAUCAAAAUUUGGGUGUUUGGGAUUUUCAAAGAGCUGUCCUACUAAUGACAUCAGAGCCCCAUAUAGCCAGAGAAAGCUUCGUUUCAUUAUAAUGGUGUAAGUGAGGAACGCCUAGAAGUGUGCUUGUUUUCAGCCUCUUAUCAUCUGCCGGCCUGCACCCUGGUCAGAGGAUCAGAUUCUUUCAAGAGGCAGUUUCUUUCAUUCAGCCUUUUACUUGAGUGAAGCAGGCUUGUUGGGCAUCAGUGAAUAUCAUGCUAAGAGUUCCGUAGUUCAAGGAGACCUAGAAUAAGGGGGAAAGCACUUUGUGAAUUGCCCAAGUUAUUGCCUAGGGAUAUGCAUAUUGGGAGCCCUGAGGAGUGGCCAAGGCACCACAGAACAGAGACUCACACUCAGUACCUGAGCAGGCUCCUUACUUUCUGUAUACUUUUUGUUGUAAAAUGGAGUUAAUAGCAGCACCCAUUUCAUAGUGUUAUUGUGAUGACUUACUAAUACAUGUGAUGCUUAGCAUUGCUUAAUGUUGUGGCUAAGCAUUUUCUAUAUGUUAGUCGUUAUUGUUUUUAAAAAUAAACAAUGAUUCUUUUUUUUUUUUUUUUUUUUUUUUUUUGAGACAGAGAGUAUCACUUUGUCACCCAGGCUGGAGUACACUGGGACAAUCUCAGCUCUCUGCAACUUCCACCUCCCGGGUUCAAGCGAUUCUCCUACCUCAGCCUGCUGAGUAACUGGGAUUACAGGCACCCACCAGCAUACCCAUCUCAUUUUUGUAUUUUUAGUAGAGACAGGGUUUCACCAUGUUAACCAGGCUGGUCUGGAACUCCUGACCUCAAGCAAUCCACCUGCCUCACCUAUCUCGGCCUCCCAAAGUGCUGGGAUUAUGGAUGUGAGCCACUGCACCCAGCCAACAAUGAUUCUUUUAGGUUGAAGAGUUAAUGUGCUCAUGAGGGCAGGUUGAGAACCACAGUGCUGUGUAAAGAUAUACAUUUUUUAUUGAACACCUACUAUGUGUUAAGUUUCAUGCUUAGAGCUUUGUAGACACUACUGUUUAAUUCUCUCAGUAACAUUAUUAUGUAGGUAUCGUUAGGCAUUCUUAGGAACCUUGGAAAGUUUACCUUGUGUAGGUAGUCAGGGGUAGAACCAGGUCUUGAAUUCAGAUAUUCCUUACUUUUUUUAUUUUGAGGCAGAGUUUUACUCUUGUCGCCCAGGCUGGAGUGCAGUGGCAUGGUCUUGGCUCACUGCAACCUCGGUCUCUGGGGUUCAAGUGAUUCUCCUGCCUCAGCCUCCCGGGUAGCUGGGAUUACAAGCACCGGCCACCACGCCCGGCUAAUUUUUGUAUUUUUAGUGGAGACGGGGUUUCUCUGUAUUGGCCAGGCUUAUCUCGAGCUCUUGACCUCAGGUGAUCCGCCUGCCUCCCAAAGUGCUGGGAUUAUAGGCGUGAGCCACCGCACCUGGCCGGAUAUUCUUUAUUUUUAAGAAUCUGAAGUACUAUGCAUCACUCCCUCCAAUGUCCUGGGGCAGCCACCAGGCAUAUUCAUCUUUGUGUGUGUUUUUCUUUUGCUUUAGCACUGGGGCACUUCUUGCUUAUUUCUUUGGUAGGAAAGGGGCUCAGUUUGUCUUGUGGGGUUGGUGGCAGGCAGGCCGGCUUACGCCUGAUACGGCCCUGGGUUAGAAGGGAAGGGAAGAUAAACUUUUAUACAAAUGGGGAUAGCUGGGGUCUGAGACCUGCUUCCUCAGUAAAAUUCCUGGGAUCUGCCUAUACCUUCUUUUCUCUAACCUGGCAUACCCUGCUUAAAGCCUCUCAGGGCUUCUCUCUGUUCUUAGGAUCAAAGUAUUUAGAGCUACAAGAGCCCUCAUGGUCUGGCCCCUGCCCCCCGGCCAGCUUCAUUGUACAUGUGGUGUUCUCUUGUCGUUCCUGUAAUGUGGUAUGCCAUGGGGUCUUUGCACAAGCCUUUCCUCUUUGGCUGGACACUGUUCCCUGCCCCCCCAUACUCUUCCUACUUAAUAUGUAGUCAUCCUGCAGAUUUCAAUUCUAACAUCAUUUUCUCCAGGGAUCCUGGCCUGACAGAAUCUCAUCUUGUUUAAUGCUCUCAUAAGACCACUUGUUUCCCUUUUGCAGCACUUGCCACUCAGUUGUAUCUUUAUGUGCGUUUGUGGUUGUAUGGGUUGUGUCUGUUCCCCAGAAUGCCCAGCUCUGAGCUGCGUGAGGGUCAAGGGCAUUGCUGUGCCUGCCAGGUAUAGUGCCUACAUGUGGUGGGUGCUCAUGUUUUAGAGACUAAAUGGAGGAGGAGAUGAGGAAAAGAUUGAAAUCUCUCGGUUCACCAGAUGGUGUAGGGCCCAGCAUUGUAAAUUCACACGUUGACUGUGCUUGUGAAUUAUCUGGGGAUGCAGGUCCUGAUUCAGUAGGCCCAGGUUGGGCAUCUCUAACAAACUCCCACGUGAUGCUGAUGCUGGUCCUAUGAACUAUACUAAAUAGUAAGAAUCUAUGGAGCCAGGCUGGGCAUGGUGGCUCACACCUAUGAUCCCAGCACUUUGGGAGGCUGAGGCAGGCUGAUCACCUGGAGUCAGGAUUUCAAGACUAGCGUGGCCAACAUGGUGGAACCCCAUCUGUACUAAAAAUACACAAAUUAGCUGGGCAUGGUGGCACAUGCCUGUAGUCCCAGCUACUUGGGAGGCUGAAGCAAGAGAAUCGCUUGAACCUGGGAGGCGGAGGUUGCAGUGAGCCGAGAUCAGGCCACUGUAUUCCAACCAGGGUGACAGAGUGAGACUCUAUGUCCAAAAAAAAAAAAAAAAAAAAAAUCUAUGGAGCCAGAUAAGCUCCAGAGGACUAGUGUGUGGGGCACACAUUCUUCCCUCCUCCAAUUUAGUAUCUUUCCUUCUCUUCUGCCCUAAGGAAAGUAUAGCAAAUACACUGAAAUGGUUAUUGCUGUACUAGGGCUCAUCUCACUUAUGAGCUAUGUUCCUUGUUGUCUGCAGUAUAUUUUCUUGUUUGAGUCAAGCCCAUCCAUAUUACUGCUACCAGUUCCCUUGAUAAAUGGUCCUGAAAUGUUUCCUCGGAAGCAUCAGCAACAGACCUACUGACAACAGCUGCUUAGGAUGCAGUUAAGGAAUUUCUCUUCAGCCUUGCACCAUUUCCCUUAUCCUGCACAUUUAUGCUCUUGAGUUUCCUCUUCCUCGCUCUCCUCCUCCUCACUAGAGUUGGACUGUGUUGGUGACAUGCUGUGUCCAAGUGUUUAGAGUCAAUUCCUGAUUUCUCAGGCAGCGAUUAGAUUUUGAGUGUGUUGCUCAGCUUUCCUGCUUUUUGGCUUCCUAAUUCUUCUGUUUACAACUUGAUUCUUACCUGUUAAUGAUAUAGGAAAAGAGACAGUGUGUCAUUGGGAAGAUAGGAUCGCCGUGGGGCUUAAAGGAGACAAUGAGAUAGAACUGAUAAAGUUCUACCGAGGCAGGUCCAGGGACUCCUUCCCUCUUGAGCGCCAUGGGACCCAGCAUCUGCACUGUACCCUGAGUGUAGUCAAGCUUAAUAGACUUUACGUGACAUAUGUGAUCUUCAGGCCAGGUGUGGUGGCUCACACCUGUAAUCUCAGCACUUUGGGAGGUCGAGGUGGGAGAAUUGCUUGAAGCCAGGAGUUUGAGACCAGCCUAGGCAACGAAGUGGGACUCUGUUUCUACAUAAAUAAAUAAAUAAAUAAAUAAAUAGCUGGGCAUGGUGACAUGCACCUGUAGUUCUAGCUACUUGGGAGGCUGAGGUGGGAAGAUCACUUGAGCCUAGGAAUUUGAGGUUGCAGUGAGCUAUGAUUGAGCUACUACAUUCCAGACUGGGUGAGAGAGUGAUACUGCAUCUCUAAUAAACAAAACAAAACAAAACAAAACAAAACAAAACAAAACCAUGUUCUUCAAAGAGAGGACCGCUAAACCAAGAAAAAACUGAAACAAAAAUUUAAAACUCAUAAUCCCAUUCCCCUGUUUUAUUUAUGUGUCUGUGUGUUGAUAUGUUUUUAUGUCAUACUUUCUUUAAACGACAGUAUUAUAUGUGACAUCAUUAGAAACCUCCUUAAAGUUCUGGUACCAUAGGAUGAUCAGAGUCUAAACAGAUGAAAAAGCUUUACUUCAGCAUUGCCUAGGGUUUGACAUAUGCUGAAAAUAAACCAUUCUAGUUUGUCUUACUCAUAUGUAUAUGUAUAGACACAUAUACAUACCCAUACACACAUAUAUACAUAUAUACCUACACAUAAACACAUAUACAUGUAUACCUAUAUGUGUGUAUAUAUGUGUCACAAGUGAAAAGUUACUUGUUUGACUUUAGGAGAAGCUUUUAAGACUUUAACAUUUGAAAUAAAAUGCUGGGCAACUUUCUGUCUUUAGAAGGUGGGAUUUCAUUUUUUGUCGUAUCCAAUACUGGCAGUAAUAGUUUUUCAGCCUCUCAUGAGUUAAUUCACAUUUGCUGACAUUAUUCAUAUAGCAGCCAGCCACACAAGUGCUUCCAUACUGGUUGCUGGUUCCUGUCUGGUGGACAGCUAAAUCCUCAUGAGCAAUAGACAAUAAGGGCUAAAUGAAUGUGAUAGAUUUCUGUUUACUUGGCUGUGUCUGGUAGUGGUAAAGUCACAAAUUUCAGUGAUGGGAAGAAUUGAGUUGUCACUUAACAAAUUACUGAUCUCUCUAAAUAUAAUUUUUUAUCAGCUCAACAUAACCCAAGUAAAUCCAGAGUUUUGAAGUGACUGACUCGAGGCCCAGUGUGUCAUUCAAAGAAAUCCAGUCCAGGAACCAACCCUAGAAGUGAUUGCAAUCUUAUUGGAAGUCAGGUGAUUCCCUUUUGCAGCCCUUCCUAAGUGCCCUUUCCCUCUCUGUUUAUUUGUCAUCAUUCCAUCUCUAGAUUCCUGGUAGAUCCAUGGGAGAUGCAUGGAAGAUCUCUUUGUGGUAUGUUUCUUGUCCUCUACCAAAUCUCUCCCUGGCAUGGUGCUGCCAUUCCUUUUUGUGUCAUCUUCUUUCCUUGUCUUUGUCCUUCAGCUAUUUUCUUCUCUCCCUUUGAUUUCCCCCCUUCCACUCACACACACUGAUGGCCUCAAUAUGUAUAGUAAGACACAAGGGGAAGGCGUGGGAGAUUUAGGAAUGGGGUUAGUGCUGAGUGGGAAGUGCUAAAGAUUUUCUUAGUGGGUGAGGAGAGGCAAAGAGGCUGUGAAUAUUGAUUUUGAACAGCUGAGGAUGAGGCUGUUACUUAUAAGAUGAGGAUAUUAUCCUGAUGGGAAUGGUGUUCCUGCUUAGUGAUGUAACCAGAAGUCUGAAAGGUGGGCCUAUUUUGUCCUUAAAACAUAGGAAGAGCCUGUAGUAUCAUUUUUAGGUUGAGACAAAAGAAAAUCAAGAUAUGGGCCACUCAUUGCAGAUGAUCUUCUCUGCCUCCCCAUCUCCUGCUUGGCCCAAAAGCAGCCUGCUGGGAGAUGCAGCAUUAUUGAAGACUGUGGUCUCCCUUGCAACACAUUCAAAGAUCUGUAGGUCACAUUGAUUCUUAGUUAAACCUAACCCACAGCUUUGCAUAUGGGACUGCUUUAAAACAGCUGCCCUCUGUGAUCCAUUAAAAAUAAAAAAGCCAUUUAACAUGGCAAAUUCAUAGUUUCAUAGAUUUUAUCUUGAUGUCAUCUGAACUUUGGAAUUAUAAUUCAGCAGAUGUUUUAAUACUCUUGUACAUUAAAUCAGAUGUCAAUGGGAUACAGAAGGAACCAAGCUGCAAUAAAACAGCAAAGGUAUAUACAAUAAUAUAUGUUGAGGACCCUUCUAAUUGUUGCCAGGAGUAGUGUUUGUAAUCAUGGCUUCAAAGGCACCUUGGUGGGCUUCUGUGGCUAAAACCCCAUUCUUCUAGCUCUCUCCUGUGAUCUUUUGCCUGUCAGAGUUUGCUUUAAAUCUGCGAUAGUCGAAGAUGCCUGAGACUCAGAAUUUUUGGACUUACCUUGUUCAUGGGAUUUCAUCUAUCAGUGGUUUGUCUGCAAUGGCAGAUUGCAUUUUUUUCCCAAAGUUGGUGGCAAAAAAUAGCUCCCAUGCCAGAUACAAUGUGAACUUGACUGUGCUUCCAUGGGAGUGGGGAAGGUGAUGUCUAUAUACCAUCCUUUUAAACCUGGACAGACCUUUGUGAUUAUCUGGACCAACAGAGUAUGACAGAAAGUCACACCAUGUGACUCUUGAGGCAGGACCGUAAAAAUGCCAUGUGCUUCUGCCUUGCUAUCUUGGGAUGCUUGUUCCUGGAUCCCAGCCACCAUGCUAUGAGGAAGCCCAGACUAAGCCCACACAGAGAGACCACGCAGAGAGGCCACGUGUAGGUGUUUCGGCCGACAGCCAGUGUCAACCUCUAGACAUGCGAGUGAAGAUGCCUCCGGAUAUUCCAGCCUUUAGCCAUCAAGUCACCCCCAACUGAAGCCCCAGACACUGUGGAGUCAAACUGUCCCCAUUUCUGUCUGACUUCCUGAACCACAGAACCGUGAGCAUAAUGAAAGGGUUGUUUUAUGCCACAAAGUUGAGGUGGCUUAUUUUGGAGCAUUAGUAACCAGAGAGAGAGAAUGAGGAAAGUCCUUGGCUUCUAAUAAAAUCCGAGCAGGAUUUUUUUCCCCACAUCUGUUUUGGCGAACAGGAGCGUCAGCUUCUGAAUUGUUUUAGAUAGUCUCACAGGUAUAAAGGAAGUAGCAUUUUAGUUUACAAAGGGGGUGGGAGUAGAUUAUUGUGAUGUCCCCCGCCUUCUCUUGUUACUAUUAUUAUAAACAAAUAAACAGCUUGUCUGAGUGCAGUGGUGUUUACAACUGGUUGGUCACAACUGGUUACAGAUUUCUUUGUUCUUUCUCUACUCUCACUACUUUACUUGACUAACCAAAAACCAAACAAACAAAAAAGUGAGAAUUUGCUCUACACAGUUACCAAGUUACCCUUAAAAACAGUUGAAGCUGGCCAGGUGCGGUGGCUCACGCCUGUAAUCCCACCACUUUAGGAGGCCGAGGUGAGUGGAUCACUUGAGGUCAGGAGGUCAAGAGCAGCCUGGCUAACAUGUGAAACCCCAUCUCUGAAAUACAGAAUACUAAAAAUACAAAAAUUAACUGGGUGUUGUGGUGUGUGUCUGUAAUCCCAGCUACUCAGGAGGCUGAGGCAGGAGAAUCUCUUCAACCUGGGAGGUGGAGGUUGCAGUGAGCCAAGAUCACACCAUUGCAUUCCAGUCUGGGCAACAGAGUGAGACGAGGUUUCACCAUGUUGGGCCAGGCUGGUCUCGAACUCCUAACCUUGUGAUCCACCCACCUUGGCCUCCCAAAGUGUUGGGAUUACAGGCAUGAGCCACCGUGCAUGUCCUGCCUCUCCUCUUUAACCUUGAAUCAACAAGCCAAAUCUCCACUCUCCAUUACUCUGUGGCUGAAUUGCAGUUGCUGUGGUGUGUCCUUGUCUCCACAUGGGGAGGUGGUGGCGAAUGGCUGGUAAGAAGGAGAGGGAAGGAGGGAAGAGUUUGUAUUAGGGUUUAUGGCUGCCCCUGUGACUCUGCUGUUCAAGGGGAAAGGGCUUUGUAGUUUUGCACCAACUGCCCUGUUCAUCUUCACAGUCUUACAGGUAUCAAAGUUAUCUCUUCUUCUUUCAUAUGUUCAGGGCAGAUGGAUCAAAGCAGUUCAAAGGGAAGUUUUGCCUAAAUACAUGACUAUAGAUCUAAUACUCCCUGGGACUGUGUAUAUGUGUGUGUAUGUAGUGGUUGUUGUUAAUUCCAGCUCUGUACUAUUAAUAAUUCUCCUGUUAGUGUCAAUCAUUAGGUGCAAUUUACCUGUCUGGACAAAUGGCCCUUACUAUGCUUGUUGUACCUGAAAAUACCAGGAAGGCCACCUUUGAAGUGCAGUGAAUCAGAAGCACUAUUUUUGAAAAAUAGGCCAGGUGCAGUGGCUCAUGCCUGUAAUCCCAGCACUUUGGGAGGCUGAGGUGGGCAGAUCACCUGAGGUCAGGAGUGCGAGACCAGCCUGACCAACAUGGAGAAACCCUGUCUCUACCAAAAAUACAAAAAAUUAGCUGCGUGUGGUGGCGGGUGCCUGUGAUCCCAGCUACUCGGGAGGCUCAGGCAGGAGAAUCCCUCUACCAGGGAGGUGGAGGCUGCAGUGAGUCGAGAUCGCGCCACUGUACUCCAGCCUGGGAAGAGAGUGAGAGUCUGUCCCCAAAAAACAAAAAAAGAAAAGAAAAAUAGUCUAUGUGGGACAGGUGAGUUUUAAGCAGCAUCAAGUCAUUUCAGAAAAGACAGAGAUCUUCACCACCACCCCCCACCCCAUGAAAUGUCCCUAAUUCCUACCUAAGAGCUAGAUCCUUACAAAUAAAAUUGGAAAUGGUAGUAUUGUGUUCUGUAUGUUUGCAUUAAAAGGAAACAAAAUGUCAAGUGAUUAAAAUUGGUACCUCAGGGAAUUAUUUAUUAUAGAAACAUUUAAUGCAGUGAGAUCUCCCCUCCCCAUCCAGACGUGUUUUUUUCUUUUCUGCAAAUUUGCCCAGUGUUUCUGAAAAUGCGAAUUUAAAAUGCCUUAUUUCUAAGCUAAAUAUUGAAGUUAAUCCUUACCUGAGGAGAACUAAUGCAGGCCCCUUUAUUGCCAAGAGAUUUUUGUGCUUGGCAUUUGUUUUUGUUUAUGAGACUCAAUCUAUGAAAUUGAGGCAGGAAGCCUGUCAAGUGGCUUCAGAAGGUCUGAGCACACUGGGGCUUAUAAGACUUGAGGCGGGAAGUGGUUGAUCAAACCUGAGCUUGCUUUGGGAACAAGUACUGAGGCAAGGGGAAGGUUUGGACCUUGCUAGUGAUCAUAUAGGAUCACUUUUGUUUAAUAUAUGUGAGAGCUUUCAGCUUCCGUGUUUUUCUAAAGGCUUUAACAGCUUGGCCUGUGGACAAGCAAUUAUUUAAUUAAAAUUGGCACAGAUGUCCAAAAUUUUCCAUUGUUCUUCAGACUACUUGUUUUUUGUUAGGUAGACACAUUGUUAUGAACUGGACAGGAAGCAAAAUUGGAAGGGCAGGUAGGAGCAGCUGUUAAGGCCACGGACAUGUAAGUUUCUGCAUUAUAUAGGGUUGGGGUCUGCUUAUUUGUCAUGUGAUUUUAAGCCAUGUUAUGUAACCUGUCUGAGCCUCAGUUUCCCCCUGUAUAAAACAGGGAUAAUUAUCGGACCUGCCUCCUCCAGUUGUGAGGAUUCAGAGGGAUCUUGUCUGUCAAGUGUUUACAUUUUAGAUUUUUAUUGAGUCCUGUGAGGCUGAUACUCUUUUCUUUCUAGCAUGACAUUGCAGUCGUUUUAUAAAUCUUGGCAUAUCUGAACUUUGGUCUGUGGAUAAGUUGGUGGAGGUUUUAGUGGUUUGGAUCUAGCAUAAUCAUAAUAAUUUUUAGAUAUUAUAUAUCUUUUUUGAAUAUUCAAAGUUUAUUUUAAAAUUUUCUUUUUGAAAACCUCACUGAGGUGAGUUCUUUACUCCUGGGAGGUCUUCAUCCCCCUUCACCUAUUCCAUCCUAAUCGAACCAAUUCCUACUUGUUCUUCAAGACUGAGCUCAAAUACCAUGGCCUUGAGAUCCUCCACCCCCAAAUACUUAGGGGCCUUCUCUGGGCACCCUGAAUUUGUUUCUUCUAACUACAUUCUAUUAUUUUCUAAAGACCUUUCUGUCUCCCCUAUUUGAUAGCAGGUCCCUUGAAGAGAAUAAUUUCAUCUUUUCCAUUUUGCUAUGUAUCUCCAGCACCAGGACAAGACAUCUUUAUAAUAUCUUAAUACAUGCCGACUGCAACUUUUGGAGCUUCAAUUUCCUAAUUGUUCACUGGGUCAUUGGGAUGACUAAAUGAAAUAAUGGCUGUGAAGCACUUUAGACAGGGCCUGGCCUGCCAUGGGUUUUCAUUAAAAUUGGUGGGCUGAGAGGAUAAUAAUUGCUGCCCUUCUGUAAAAGCCUGAUAUGAAAGGUUUAGCCUGUGAUGCAGGAUGUUGCCCUGCCAUGGACAGGAAGUAAACACCCAUUAACUGCCCAUGUUGGGCCAAGCCCCUUGUGCUGAGUCCUGCCCCACCAUGGGGGCUGAGCAGAGCUCUCUGGCUCACCUGCUUCCUGGUUGAAAUACUCCAGUGUGGAAUACCUUUCAUCAUGUCUGGUGCCUUUGGACAGUUUUAGCUUUUAUUUCCCACAAGGCCCAUCUUGUGCCAUUAUUUACCCUUGGUAAGUAAUCAAGGUAGAAGCAUCACAGUAUAUGUGUUGGGAUUAUUUUUGCCUUAGUCGUAUUAGGUUUAAAAAUUUUUUUUUUUAAACCCUGCGUUUAUUUCAAUAAGAAAAUUUAAUUGGGGUAGGAAGAAAGAGAUGGAGAAAUAGAGAUUAAAACAGAACAUCACCUCCCAGCCUGGUUUCUUGAGCCCAAUUGGAGGCCUUAAAAGGCAUCUGGGGAAGGAAUGUCAAGCUGUUUUAUCAUUAAAAGGGAACAAGGGCUGGGCGCGGUGGCUUGAGCCUGUAAUCUGGGCACUUUGGGAGGCCGAGGCGGGCAGAUCACGAGGUCAGGAGAUCGAGACCGUUCUGGCUAACACGGUGAAACCCUGUCUCUACUAAAAAUACAAAAAGAAAAUUAGCCGGGCAUGGUAGCGGGCGCCUGUAGUCCCAGCUGCUCGGGAGGCUGAGGCAGGAGAAUGGCGUGGACCCGGGAGGUGGAGCUUGCAAUGAGCCUAGUUCGCGCCACUGCACUCCAGCCUGGGGGACAGAGCGAGACUCCGUAUCAAAAAAAAAAAAAAAAAAGCGUGGGGGGAACAAGACCUGAUUAACCAGAGUACAUUUUCUCAAGAUAUGGUUACCUAGUUUAACUAAAAUGUCAAGUUUCUUUACUUUUAGGUAGAGUAAGGUUAACUCUGUGUGGUUACAGUGGCUCUCUCGGGGGCAGAUAGGUUACUUAUUAGUUCGAAAGCACAAUUGGGGAACACAGACUUCUCGAACUGGGCUGUAUUUGCAAAACAUGAUGCAACUAGUUCUUAAUGGCAAAACGAUUGUGGAGCAUUGGUGUGUCCUAUUGUGGCUUAAAAGGGAACUUAGCAAUCAGAUAAUAAAGAAAGGAAUAAACCAACAUUAAUACCAUGUGUAGAAAGUGAUUUGAGAUGGAGAAAACGAUUAACUUCCCAAGGUGGUCUGAAAGUAUAUGUUAAAAUAGACUUGUUUUAUUCAUGGAAUAUUUCACCAUAUAUUUGCCAUAAGGCCUGAAGACUCUGUUAGGUGCUUUUCCCAUUUUUUUCCCCUCACACUUGAGGGGUAAAGAAAGAUAUCGGUAGGUCAUAAUCAUUUAUACAUGUGAAAUUUUGAUAUUGCAUAUGCUUGGCACAUUGAAAGUAAGCAUAUCAGUACCAUAGAUGAGGAAGCAUAUUGCUCCCAGAUUUUAUUGAUUCUUUCUCAUUUCUGCCUGUCUUUCCUCUCCUUAUCCCCCUAAAUUAUAAUUUCAUUGAAAAAGGGCUUCUUUUCAACACACACUGGUGCCUGUCAGGGAGUGCGGGGUUGUGCGGAGGAGAGCAUCAGGAAAAAUAGCUAAUGCAUGCUGGGCUUAAUACCUAAGGGAUGGCUGAUAGGUGCAGCAAACCACCAUGGCACAUGUUUACCUACCUAACAAACCUGCACAUCCUGCACAUGUACCCCGGAACUUCAAAUAAAUUUUUUUUUUAAAAAAGGGAUUCUUUUAUAGCCCUUACCUUGAGUGAUAAAGGGUCAGAAUGAAAAGGUACUUCUAGAAUGUAAUGCGAUUUUAUCCCCAUUUAGAUGUGAUUCUAUUCUCUGUUAAGAAAUGAAAUAACUGUAAACACAAUAUGUAAGUGAACUGUUAAACUACUUCCAUUAAAUGUUUCAAGUAAUGGAAAUACAUCAACACUAACCCUACAAGCUAUGUGCCUUAAAAGUUCAUAGCCUCAUUUUUAUGAGCUUCAAGGCUUUUUGCAUUAGAUGAAAGGAAUAGUACCCUGUAAAAAUUGGUAUCUUAUGGGCUUGAAGCUUUCACCAGCAUUUUAGGAAAGGAAAGGGUAAAAAAAAAGAAAAACCCCCCAAAAAAACCAUCAAAUGGUUUCAGAGUAUAAUCUACAAAUGGGAUAAGUGAUCAUUAUCUUUUGGCUCUAGUCAAAUAAGGAAGGCCUAACAGAUUAGUCUUGGUCUCUUAAAUCUUAACCUCUAAAUAUGUAAUUUUUAUUAAAGGAGUAUAUUCUAGAGUAAAAACUAGGCUUAAUACUUGAUUUGUUGCAGAAUUGUCACAAUUAAUGGGUUUUUGCAAGUGCUAACAAGUUGAGUCUUUUCAUUUGUUACUUCAGCAAAUGUUUAUUGAGAGCUUGCUGUAUCACUCAUUUCUUGGCACGAAAAAGCUAUGUAACAAACUACCCUAAACUGUGUGGCAUUCAGCAUGAAGUAUUCUCACACUCAGGGGUCUGCAAGUUGACUGGGAAACUGUGCUGUAUGUGUCUCAUUCUGCAGCCUGGUCCUGGGACUGACAUGACACACUGUCAUUUCAGCACAUACCCAGAGCAAGUCAGGGAAGUAUAGUCUUCCCAUGAAGGCUGGGGGAGGAGGAGGGAGAGAAUAUUUGCCAAAAAAAAUAACGGAAUCCACCACAACUACUGUUUGUUUUUUUUUUUUUUUUCCCGAGACAGAGUCUAGCUCUGUCGCCCAGGCUGGAGUGCAAUGGCGCAAUCUUGGCUCACUGCAACCUCUGCCUCCCGGGUUCAAGCGUUUCUCCAGCCUCAUCCUCCUGAGUAGCUGGGGUUUCCCCCUGUUGGUCAGGCUGGUCUUGAACUCCUGACCUCAAGUGAUACACCCACCUUGGCCUCUCAAACUGCUGGGAUUACAGGCAGGAGCCACCACACCCAGCCAACAACUACUAUUUUGCCUUGUCUUGUGAGACUAGAGUUGGCGAACAGUCCUUGCUCUCAUGGGUCUUAGGUUCCUGGUGUCGAGGGGGAGAGGGUGUGUGUGGAGAGGGAAAAGAGGAAACACAAAAGCAAUAGUUGAACAAGAGAAUUUUAGAUGGUGGGUAGGUUGACUUGGUACAGAACUCCAUGAAAUUUCAUCAUGGAUAUGAUAUUUUCUUUUUGAGACGGAGUCUUGCUCUGUCGCCCAGGCUGGAGUGCAGUGGCGCGAUCUCGGCUCACUGCAACCUCCGCCUCCCAGGUUCAUGCCAUUCUCCUGCCUCAGCCUCCCGAGUAGCUGGGACUACAGGCACCCGCUACCACGCCUGGCUAAUUUUUUGUAUAUUUAGUAGAGAUGGGGUUUCACCAUGUUGGCCAGGAAGGUCUUGAUCUCUUGACCUCGUGAUCCACCUGCCUCAGCCUCCCAAAGUGCUGGGAUUACAGGCGUGAGCCACCGCGCCUGGCUGAUAUUAUUUUUACUGAGUUCUGUGAGGCCGAUAUUCUUUUCUUUGUAGCAUGACAUUGCAAUCAUUUUAUAAAUCUUGGCAAAUCUGAAUUUUGGUCUGUGGAUAAGUUGGUGGAGGUUUUAGUGGUUUGGAUCUUGUAUAAGGUCUUGCACAGUGCUGCUGGUGGUCAGGGUAUGUGAGGAGGUGCUGCCAGACCACUUCCACUGAGGUAGGGUGGGUACAUAGAUGCAUUUUUAAGUACUCCCUACAACAAAAACCAUUCCCUGGGGAAUGUAAAGUGCUGGAGGCAAAAUAAUCUGCAGAAGAAAAUCUAAAGAACCAUAUAUAUCCCAAUUAAAUUUCUGCCUCUGCUAAGCAAAUUGAGAAAAUCAGCAGUCUGGUUCCUUUUCAGCUGUGAGAAAAUUGGGAAUAGAAUACCUGACAAGGUGUGUGUUGGAGAUGACGUCAUUCGUGUAUGACAACCACAAGAGUUGCUUGUUAAGAAGCAAGUAUGCUAGUCAUUUGAUGACUUAAUCUUUUAUCUUGGCCGCCCGGGGCCUUCAGUUCAGGGUGUUGAUUUCAUCAGAACUAACCUAGAAAGAAUGAUAUGAAACUUCGUGAGUGCCCGGCCCUCCGAUGGUCCCAGCUGUCCCAGCACAAGCUGGAGUGUCUAUUGCUUUACCUGGCAGAGAGCUCCGGGCUCAGAACAGGAAAUGUGGGAGUUCUCCACCCAACUUUGACAGACGGGAGUGGAAAGGAGUGAAGCGAGCGGAAGUCUGACUUCAUUUUUGGUUUUCAGACUGUCAGACUGGAAGGGUAACUUUAAGUGGGGGCUCGCUUCCCCCCCCCCCCCCUUAGUUUUUCAUUUAUAGUUAUCACUAAAUAUAUUCCAAUGAUGGAAAAUUACGGCUUUUUACUUGCCAUUUGGCAGCUGUGCCUGUAUCUCUUUUUUAGUUUUUGGUGUGUAUUUUAAAUUUAGUUAGGAUUGAAUGGGGUGGAAUUAUGAGAUUUAAAAAAAAAUGAAGUGUUGCACUGUUAAUUUAGGGUUAGGUGCAGUAUAAAAAGACAAGUUAUAAUAGUAGCUGGCAAUUAUUGAGAGCUUAUUGUGUUCUGUGUUGCAGGUGAAGACCUUGAAAUACAUGGUAUCAUUUUUUUUAUCCUCCUUAACAUUCUAGGAGGUAGGUGCUGUAAUUAUUUUCAUAUUCUAGAUGAGGAAACUGAGGCUCAGAGAAGUUCAAUAGUUGCCCAGUUGCGAAGUUCAGUAGUGUUACCUAACUAAUGAAUGGUGGGUCGUAGAUUCCAAUUUAAUUUGUAGGUUCUGGGACCCAAAUUCUUAGAACUCUGGUUAUUUUUUAGAAAGCUGAAAAAGAUCCCGUUUUUGUUUUGUUUUGUUUUUUGAGAAAGGGUCUUUCUCUGUCACCCAGCCUAGAGUACAGUGGCACGAUCAUAGCUCCCUACAACCUCAAACUCCUGGGCUCAAGAGAUCCUCCUGCCUCAGCCUCCUGAAUAGCUAGGACUACAGGUGCAUGCUACCACACGCAGCUAGCUUUUUAAUUGCCGCACAAUUUUUUGUCUGAAAAUAUUCACAGGAUUCCCAGAGAACAGACUUAGAUAGCUGUUGAGGAGGAUAGAAAUGAAUGCACUGAAUAAUUACAAAUGGGAAUAGAAGGGCCCGGUGGAGCAGCGCAUGCUCAGCUGGAAGAGAUUAUGGGAGGUUGUUAAAUUUGCUGCUUCAGGAAUGUGCUUGCUGGUCUGUCAUUUUCUCUCCUUCCCUGACAAUAGUUUGAAUAGGAUUUGAAUUUACCAUUUGGGGCCUCGUGAUACAUUUAGGAUCUGAUCUCUUUCUCAAAAAAAAAACCCUUUAAGGGAGCCGUAUAUCCUUAUGGGGAAAUGGAUGAAAAGGAUGUGUCCUCUUGUCUGUAUCACCUCUACUCUUUGAAAAAUAUUUAAAUUUCUUAUUAACUUGAGCUUUCAGUGGGAUUGAAUUGACCUGUCUUAUUAUUUCUUGGCUCUCCUGCAUUGGGACGGUGUGAGCCACUCACCUACUAAUGACUCAUUGUAAUUAUUGGCUAUUGCUGAACUCCUCUGGACAGCACCAUUGUGUAACAAGUCCAUCUCUAGACCAUAUUGCAUUUGUUAUUUAUGUUUUUGCUUAUCUCAGCACCUUUAUGGAAAUGUGUUUCUUGUUGUCUGUCUUCACCAGGGAGAAGCCAAGGCUGAGUGACUCAUCAGAGGAUCACGGUUCCUUCCGAGUUUUCUAGAGCCUGCAGUAUGGGCAAGAGUUGAGGGUCAGUGGGGAACAGACAAUGUUUUUGUCCCCGAGAAACUUAUAUGUGGAUGGAGGAGCUUUCUGUCUAAGAACUCCAUGCCCCUCAGGUUUAGCACCUGACCACUUAACCCUUUGUUUCUUUCCCAUGGUUAAGGGAAACAAUGAGUUAAUUUCCUCUCUGCAAAUGACUGGUCUUUGUGGAGGACAGAGGAAAGAGGAAUGGAGCCAGUGAUUGAAGUUUGUUCAUUCAUUGAUGUGUGUAAGUUACAGUCAGCUGUUGGCUAGAUAGCCUCAGUGAAACCCACUUCAUGUGCCUAGAGAGUCCCCUCCUGUUGAAGGUACACAGGGCUUGUGCACCACUUUAAGAGUGUGGUAGAAGUGAUGAUACUGUGAUUCCAGCUAAGCAAUUUGAGCCAGCACCCAGCUGUCUGAGCCAUUCUAGCUGGGACCCCAGAUGGUUCACCCCAACAGAUAGCUCAGGGAGCUGAGACAGAAGAUACUGCAUUCCCUGUUCACAUUCUAAAUGCACAGAGUUGUAAGAGAGAUGAAAUGGUGGUUGGUUGUUCUAAGCCACUAAGUUUUGGGUAGUCUGAUAUAAAACAGUAGAUAAUUGAAACAGAUACAUUCAAGAAGUCUUUAGUCAGCACCCAGGGUGGACCGACUGGGUUGCCUGUCUACCUCAGGGGGUGCUUAGCAUAUGAGGAGGGGAGAUACUAAUAAGCAUUUCUAAGUUGAAAGUAUUUUGAAAAGGGCACUGAGUCUCUCACUCUUUGCUGUGUUCUAGAGCAUUGCAUCUUGGAACCACUCACUUUCAUGCUUUAGUCAUUUACCAGUGUUUUUUUUUUUUUUUUUGAGAUGGAGUCUUGCUUUGUCGCCCAGGCUGGAGUGCAGUGGUGUGAUCUCGGCUCAUUGCAACCUCUGCUUUCCAGGUUCAAGUGAUUCUCAUGCCUCAGUCUCCCAAGUAGCUAGGAUUACAGGCACCCACCACCACGCCUGGCUAAUUUUUGUAUUUUUAGUAGAGAUGGGGUUUCACCAUGUUGGCCAGGCUGGUCUCGAACUCCAGACCUUUAGUGAUCUGCCCAUCCCUGCCUCCCAAAGUGCUGGGAUUACAGGCUUGAGUCACUGCAUCCGGCCUACCAUAUUUGUUUUAGUGUCUCAUGGCUGUGGGUUGUCCUCUCUUAUUUAGGAGAUGGUAAACUUCUUGAGGGCAGGCAGGGAAUUACCUUUCUUCUCUGGGGAGGGAGCACAGACUAGAGGUUAUGGGCAUGAACCUUGCAAUCAGGUAGAAUUUUGUUCCAUUUCCAGGGUUAGCUAAUUGUGUUACCUGGGAGAAGUUGACUUACUGACCCCAAGCUAUGUGUGUGUGUGAGUGAUUUAUUAGCUACAGGUAAUGCUUACUUCACAGAGUCUGAAAAUGAUGUAAGAUGAUGUCACACAGUGGUUGAUGAGAUCACACUUGAACUGCCUAACUCACAGGCUUGUGAUCAAGUUUCAUUCAAUUUGAUUAAAAGAAAAUUAAGCGUAUCAAGGGUGUAAAGGCUACAAUGGUGAACAAGUUUUUGGGUUCAGUCCAUGGAGGCUUGAACAGUGCUUGGCACCCAAUUAGUGCCCCAUAACUAUUUGUUGAAUGAAAGACUAAUGUGUGAAGUGUGUUUCUCUGUGAGUUAUUCUUGUUCAGUAGGUGUUCAGUAAGGGCUUGCUGGUUCUUCUAAUUGCCUGUGGGUUUCUGCUGCAAAUCACCCAUCUCUAGCUACAUGGGUUCUUGUUCUGUCAACAUAGGUCCACACCCUGUGGAAUAAGUGAGGCAGAGGUGUCAUUUUAAGCCUCAGUGGGGAAACUGGUAUCAGAUGGGUUGCUGGUAAAACCAUGUAAAGCAAAAAAAAGAAAAUGAGUAAUCUGUCAUUUAUAAGCAGCUCCAUGUGGCCUGCUGUGAUGGCUCUCAGUUAAAUGGGAUGCUCUUAGACAUUUCAUUUGCAUAUGAAGCAUCUGGAAAUAAAGCUGUAAUGAAGCCAGGUGCAUGUAGUCCCAGCACUUUGGGAGGCUGAGGCAAGAGGAUCGCUUGAGCACAGGAGUUCUAGACCACCCUGGGCAAUAUAGUGAGACCCUGCCUCUACUAAAAAUAAUUAAAAAAAACAUAGCCAGGCAUGAUGGCGUGUGCCUGUAGUCCCAUCUACUCAGGAGGCUGAGGCGGGAGGAUCUUUUGACCCAGGAGAUUGAGGCUGCAGUGAGCCAUGAUCAUGCCACUUCACUCCAGCCUAGGUGAGAGAGUGAAACCCUACAAUAACAACAACAACAAUAAAAAUAAAGCCGAAAUGAUGCCCAGAUUCUUGGAAAGAGAAAGGAAUUUCUGAUAAAGUCUCUGCCCCUUGUUCCCUUGUUGUCUUUCCUGGAUCUGGAAGGCGUUGGUGGUAUUGAGGGUUUUAUUACUCAAAAUAUGGUCCAUGUGCCAACUAGCAGCUUUCACAUCUCCCGAGAGCUUGUUAAAUACAGAAUUUUGGUUGCCCUCCCAGAUGUAUUAGAUGAUAAUCUGCAUUUUAACAAGAUCCCCUUGGAAGGGUCCUUGGAAAGCUUUGGUUAGACAGUCCUGGUAUUGAAGGGAAGCAGAGUGUUGGAAAUCAAGGGAAAGGUACUGCUUUCUGGCAGGCAAGACAUAGCUACCACAGUUCACUGUUUUUUGCUCAGGUUUUCUUCAAUGCAAACUGCACUCAGUCCAUGUUAUUUCACCACAGACAAUAAAGGCUAGUACUCAAGGAUCUGGAGGAGUAGAGGAAAUACUUGUACUAAAUAAUCUAUGGAAGGACUGUCUUUGUCAAGAUAUAGGUGAGUCACUGUUUCCUUAGAUGUGCAACUGUGUGGGUUAUUCAAGAAAGGGAGAGCUGACAUUUAUGAAGUGCCUAUUAUAUGCCAGUUAGUGUAUGAGGUACCUUCUGUGCAUUUUUUCAUCUGAUUCUCCUACAACUUCUUGAGGAUGUUAUGGUUUUGUGAGGUUAACUUACCCAUGACCAAACUCCGACUUUCUCUGGCACCCAAACCCUUCCAUGCCAUCAUCUUGCAUGCUUGUUUCUCAUGGCAUUCGGAUUUAUGUAUUUUUAUUUUUAUUUAUUUAUUUUGAGAUGGAGUUCUGCUCUUGUCACCCAGGCUGGAGUGCAGUGGUGCGAUCUCGGCUCACUGCAACCUCUGCCUCCUGGGUUCAGGCAAUUCUCCUGCCUCAGCCUCCCGAGUAGCUGGCAUUACAGGUGCCUGCUGUCAUGCCCAGCUAACUUUUGUAUUUUUAGUAGAGAUGGGGUUUCACCAUGUUGGCCAGGCUGGUCUCAAACUCCUGACCUCAGGUGAUCCACCCACCUCGGCCUCUCAAAGUGCUGGGAUUACAAUCACGAGCCACCGUGCCUGGCCUGGAUUUAUUUUUUAAACUGAUACCACCGUGUGAUUUAGGGAAGAGUCUAAGCAAGAAAGAUAUCUAGAUCAAAACUCAUAUUUGGUCAGUCAGAGCAAAGUCUUAAAAUGUUGUAGUGUUUGUUAAGUAUUAGAAUUUCAUUGCAUCAGAAACAGGCCAGGAGGUAGUCUGCUUGCAUUAGCUCACCCAAGCUAUUUCCUCAGUUUCCUGGGAACAAGAAAAAGCGACGUCUGGUUCUGUCACCUAGGUUUCAUAAGUACACUGACACUGGAGAGGAACACUUUCAUAGUACCAUUGAGGAAGGACACUCAGAAAUGGUAUUGGAGGCAGAAGUGUCAAAUGUAAGUCACUUGGAAACCAGCUUCAUGAGUUUUGCCAUAUUCAUAUAUUACAGUAUCAUUAACUUUCUUUUUUUUUUUUUUUUACCUUUUUUUUUUUUUUUUAGACAGAGUCUCUCGCUCUGUCGCCCAGACUGGAGUGCAGUGGCAGAUCUCAGCUCAUUGCAACCGCCACCUUCUGGGUUCAAACAAUUCUCCUGCCUCAGCUUCCUGAGUAGCUGGGACUACAGGCGCAUGCUACCACGCCUGGCUGAUUUUUGCAUUUUUAGUAGAAAUGGAGUUUCACGCUGUUGGCCAGGCUGGUCUCCAACUCCUGACCUCAAGUGAUCUGCCCACCUUGGCCUCCCAAAGUGCUGGGAUUACAGGUGUGAGCCACCGUGCCCAGCCUCAUUUACUUUUAUUUUUUAGAGACAGGGUCUCACUCCAUCACCCAGGCUGGAGUGCAGUGAUAUGAUCAUAGGUCACUGCAGGCUCAAACUCCUGGGCUCAAGUGAUUCUUUUGCCUCAGCCUCCCAAGUAUCUAGGACGACAGGCAUGCACCACCACAUCCAGCUGAGAUCUGAGAUUCAAAAUCAGAAGGUUUGAUAGAGAAUUAGAAAGGAAAUAAUUUUUCCCAAAAUAUGAUUUACCAUUAUUUAUUUCUGUAUCUGUAUAUAUACCACCUAAGUUCUUCUGCACAAUGGCCUAUAUAUUUGAAGAUGACUAAGUUUUUAUAGUCAGCAUUCUCUUUCUGAGCAGGUCCAGUUUACAACACUUGGCCUUUAGGAAUGUUACGUUAUACUGGGUUCAGGCUCAUCAUAGUUACUCUGUGCUAAGAGGCAAACCGGCUCAAAGGAACAUCAUGCCAUAGCAGGAACUGAAAUCUGAAGAAUGAAUCUUGAAGCAUGUGCUUGAGAAUGGCCUGACAGCUAUGCUCAUCUGGUGUUAGAAGCUUCGGCUAAACAAGGAGAGUCUCCCUUACCAGAGGGUCAUUCUUUGGUAGGCGGUACUCAUCCUAAGAGACUUGUAAAUCUUCCGUUAGGGAACAAGCCUGAGCGGUUGAUUUAGAUGUUGGUCUUCCCUCAGUAACCUCCCUAAUCUUUAACUUUUCCAUUUUUGCCAGUGGUGGAAUGCUGACCGAGAACCUGCCUGGUAUUUAUAGUACUUGGAGCAAGAUACUGAACUUGAGUUCAUGAUCCCGCACCUUGCCGUGGUGACUUGUAUUACCUCUUUCUUUCCCUCCCCUGCCUCACGUUAAUCUCACUCAGGUCUUGCCAGCUCUUCCUCCUGUGUCUGCUACUUCCUCUUUAUUUCCUCACAAGAUAAUCCUCUUCAUUAUCAUCAUCAUCAUCAUCAGAUCUCUAGACUUUAGUCAUUCUUGAACUACUUUCUUAAUUUCUUCAUAUCUGUGUACCACCUGAACCAGUUUUAUUUAUAUUUUUCUUUCAAUCAAAUUACUUCUUAAACUUUAGUCUGUAAAAACUGUAAAAUCAUAGGUUUUAUAUGACAGCUAACUUUCCCCAAAUAUUCAGUAAAAUGAACACAACAACUGUAUAACAUUAAAAAAUUAUGUCUGGGUCAGGUGCAGUGGCUCAUGCCUGUUAAUCCCAGCACUUUGGGAAGCUGAGGUGGGCGGGUCACUUGAGGCCAGGAGUUCGAGACCAGCCUGGCCAAUGUGGCAAAACCCUGUCUCUACCAAAAAUACAAAAAUUAGCCGGGUGUGGUGGCUGGUGCCUGUAAUCCCAGCUACUCGGGAGGCUGAGGCAGGAGGAUCACUUGAACCCAGGAGGUGGAGUUUGCAGUGAGCCGAGAUCAUGCCACUGCCCUCCAGCCUGGGUGGCAAAGCUAGACUCCAUCUCAAAAUAGAUAAAUAAAUAAAAAUAAAUUUAUGUCUGGUAUUACAAAUUCAUCUCACGUACCACUCCUGGCUCAUGUACUGUUUAUACUAAUCUUUGACCUAUAGCAGUGGUUCUCCACAGUAGCAUUACAUUAGACUCAUGUGGGAAGAUAUAAAAAAAUACCAAUGCCUCAUGCUUCACUGAUUAAAUCAAAAUUUAUGGGAAUGGAGUACAGAACUUCUAAAAAGUUCAUUGGACAAGUCUAGCGUGCAGCCAGAAUUUAAAAACACUGAGCUGAGAAUGUGGUCAAAUAUCCUUCCCAUCUUCACUCUCUACCUGUUUGAAUGUAUGUUUUACAUUAUUUCUAUAUAAAUCCUCUUAAAAUCUUCCAUGUUUGAGGCUUACUGGUUAUAUAAAGGCAGUGACAGUGCUUUGAAUAGUGUCUGCAUAGGAAGCAUUUUAAAUGUGUAAUUUUGUGAUGGAGCGUUGGUAUAAAACUGAGCAAACCUAGGUUCUUGGCUCUGUCCUUCGACUUAUUAACUUGAGGAUUACAGGCAGUUGUCUGCAUCUUUCUGAGCCUUAGUUAAGUCAGCUGUCAGAUGGGGAGACUAAUCCUUACCAGGCAUAUCUCCCAGAAUUGAGUAAGGGUCGAAUGAGAAAAUAUAUUUUUAAAAUGGUCUGUUAACUGUCUUCAGGGAAUCAGGGCAUAAAAAUAUUGUUAAUAAGUCAGUGGGUGGGGGUGGUGAUAAAAAAUAGAAUAGGAAAAGUUUGAGGACAAAAUAUUUCAUAUUAGGUGUGAUAAUUCUUAAAAAUGAGUUCUUUCUAAUUAUAAUGAUAGAAGCUGUGCCAUGUUUUUGCUCUUGGACUGUUGAUUGUCCUCAGAAUGAGACAGCUGGGCUCAUCUUAGUGCUUGAACUGAACAACAGCUGCUAAUUACAACUCAAGGAAAAACUACAGGCUGAUCUGAUUAUGGUUUCUAGAGGUUAGACUCCCUUUCACUGUAUCUCAUUGUGUUCUUUGUUGUGUUUCUGCUAUGGUAGGUUAACUCUGGUUUUGCCCUCAUUUGUAGGUAGAUUCCUGGAAGUGGCACAUCUCUACGUUGUUAGUAGAAAUCUUGCCUUGCAGCCGCUGAUGGCUCAUCUGGAGUGAUGUGACUGAGGAGAGACCUCCACCCUCCCAAUCUGCCACUGUACUUAGGGGUAUUGUCUGCAUAACCCCCUUCACUGGGGCCAGUCGCCAACAUUGUCAACAGCACAGUUAUGCCUGCUUUAACUUUCACCUCAAAAAUAGCUGACCACUCUGGCUUCUGUGUUGAAUGAAAAAAAAUAGGAUGUCACCAACACAAAUGGAUAUCCUGAAUUUCGGGACAAGUGUAGAUUUGAGUAACUUGUAGGGGUCCCUGAAUGUUUCCUGGUACUUACUGACUUUGUUUUCAUACUUGAUUGGAAUGUCUUGAGCCCCAAAUAGGCUCUGAAAAGCUGAGAGGUUUUUUGUUUUGUUCAUUUUUUAAGCUUUUAACAAUGUGUUCAGAUAAUAACUUACACUUAUAUCUUCAACCCGUUUUCAGAUUCAUGGUCUUAUUUUGUCCUUAUAACACUAGGAGGCAGGGGCAUGCAAGUGCAGGGGCAGUCCUUGAAUUUAUUUACAGUUUUGAUAUGUAAUUCGUGAUGGACUUUACCACACUAAUUUUUAUUUUUAAAAGUACUGUAGUCGGGAGCAGUGGCUCAUGACUGUAAUCUCAAUACAUUGGGAGGCCAAGGCAGGCAGAUUGCUUGAGCCCAAGAGUUUGAGACUAGCCUGGGCAAUGUGGGGAAACCCCAUCCCUACAAAAAAUGCAAAAUUAGCUGGGCAUGGUGGUACUCACCUGUAGUCCCGAAUUGCUUGGGCCCAGGAGGCAGAGGUUGCAGUGUGUGGGGAUCAUGCCAUUGCACUCCAGCCUGGGUGACAGAGUAAGACUCUGCCUUAAAAAAGAAAGGAAAGAAAAGCAGGCAGGCAGGAAGGAAGAAGUGAAAGUAUUGCAUUAAUUCUUAAUUCUUGAGGGUUUUGGUGCCUCUUAAAUUUUGCACCCAAGGUAAGUGGCUCGCCUGCCUCACCCUAGUUCCUACCCUGGCCUCCCACCUCUAAUGUGCAGUUACCUACAUCUUAGCUUCAUAUGCCAAGCACUGUGUUCGUUGACUUACAAAUGUCUGUUAUGUCUUUGAUUUAAUCCUUAUACCAACCCUGAGGGGUCGGUACUGAUGCCAUCUCCAUUUCAUCUAGGAUACUAGAGCACAUGACAAGGUGCAUGCCUUGCCCAAGGAUGCACAUUAGGAAUAGCAGAGUUCAAGCUCUUCCCUCCCAAAGUCACAUGAGUGAAAUGUGUAGCUAUACUGGUAUCCCUUGACAGGUAGGCUUAAAAUCCCUUCUUUAGGCCAGGCGCGGUAGCUCACGCCUGUAAUCCCAGCACUUUGGGAGAUCGAGGCGGAUCACUUGAGGUCAGGAGUUCGAGACCAGUCUGGCCAACAUGGCAAAACCCCGUCUCUACUAAAAAUGUAAAAAUUUAGCCGAACAUGGUGGCGUAUACCUGUAGUCCCAGCUACUCUGGAAACUGAGGCAGGAAAAUCACUUGAACCUGGGAAGUGGAGGUUACAGUGAACUGAGAUCAUGCCACUGUACUCCAGCCUGGGCAACAGAGUUAGACUCUGUCUCAAAAAAAAAAAAAAAAAAUCCCUUCCUUAAUUGCACUACUUACCUUCAUUGUAAAGAAUGGACAGCUGAUAAAAAUUACAUUAUUCUCAAAGUACCAGUCCAGAAACAGCUUGUAAGAAGACCGUUGGACUAUCACAAGCUAAACAUAAAUAAUGUGACACCUAUCUUAAAGAAUAUUUACGCAAAAAGCUUCUAAGGUGCCAGACGACAUUUCAAACACGAAUAACAACCCACAGGAGAAAACAAUCUCAGCUUCCCAACCUGAGCCAGAACCAAGCUUUUGGAAAUCCUGGUAAGGCCUGCACACAUCUUGAAAAGGAAAUCGGGUGCAUCCAGAAUGAAAGGACCAAGGCUGUGUGCACUUGCACCUGGGGAACAUCAAGGCAAGAGCUAAUUUUAGGACUGGCUGUCCUGCUCCUGCCCUUUAUCUUAAUUACAUACUUCUGUUAAUAGAGCUUAGCAAUUGGCCCUGAUUCAGAUGCAAGAGACAAAUUCAGGUGCACAUCUCAACUCAUCUAGGGAUAAAAUUAGCGUUUAGGUUGUAAGGGUAUUUAUAGAAUCUAUUUCUUCAGCUGAGCUUAGAUAUUUCUACUAAGAUAAGACAAUCUUUUUUUUUAAAAGUUAAUAUGGGUAAAAUUGGGACUACAUCAACAGAAAAAAACAAUGUCAUUUAUCAAGGAUGGUAUAUAAGUUUCAUGUGCCAAUUCCAAUAGAGAAUGAUGUUGCAAACAUGCCUGUGUUUAGUGAGAAGAGGCACCAUGAUCAAUCAGCUAUGUCUGGCUGGAAAUGGAAGGAAAUGACCACAAACAUCUGGCCCAUUUGCUCCUUCUAUCCUAUACCCUUUUACCCUUGAGCUGAUUCUCCAAAAGCCAAUGAAGGGCAGAGAAUCUAUCAACUAGGGAAGACGUCUUUACAAAUACAGCAUUUAAUACAUUCUUCUUGACUAACAGUUCUAAGCCAAGUCACUGAGCAUGUUCAAAUGGGGCACUAGUUUAAUUGCUUUAGUUUCAAAAUUGCCAUUUUCUAUUUCCAGUUUUCUUGGGUUUUCUGCAGUGCCACUCACUAUCCUUUUCAUCUGAACUCAGAGAUGCAAAAAAUGUGAGCCAAACUGGGUCUAUCCCAACUGACUACUGAAAACCACCCCCUCUCCUUGCUCUCUUGUGAGCAGAGCUUCCAUUGUUCUGAGACAAUAUGACAUUUCCUCCAAACAGGUAGUUAGUAAAUAAACCAUCAAAUACUGGAAACGAUGUUUAUUUUAAGUUUUCAAAGUACCAGGGGAAAAAAAGACGAGAGAUUUCCACUUAAGAAAGUCUAUUAGUCCUGUCCUUAUUUCAAAAAUGUUCAAUUCCAUGUAAUCUUUUGGAGUAUGAUACCUAAAGGAAUUUUCAAUGAGACUUGAGACAGGUGCAUUUCCAGCUUUUCUCAAUUGCUUGGUGUGUACAUUUCCAAGGAGGAGCCUGUAUACCAACUAAUUCUAACUCUCAAAGUCCAUUGAGAACAUUUCUGCAUAUGACCAAAAUGAUCAGGCUACCAAACUGGCCACUAUGAUCAUUCUAGCUGUUCUCAUAAGAGAUUAAAUUCAUGAACAAGGUGUCAGCUUGAAUGCUUCUCUGGCCUUACUUGACCUGCCACCUCCCAUUCAUAUAAUGUUAACAAUAACUUGUCAUGUGUUUGUGAAACACUGUGAACUUCUCCAUCCAAUAAUAUUCAGUAUGUUUCCAGUCACAUGGUCAGGGUAAAGUCAUGGCUAUCUCGCUCCUCACAGAAAUCAAGAGAGUAACAGAGCCUUUUGAAAGUCACACAUGCUCAGUAAAUGAGGAAACACUGGGGUUGACAUCAGUACCAAAGCUGGGGUAGGAAGGGCUACUACAGAGAACUGGAUGGAGAGUUAGAAGGCCUGGGGCCUCUGCCCCAUUUUAAAUGAACCUCAGACAAGACCUCCAAAUAUCUGUCCUCAAGUUGCUUCAUCUACAAAGAAAAGAGAAAACUUCCCCUUGUCUCCAUGGUACAAAAUUAAUCUGAGAAUGAAAUGGUAUUUUGUGCCAGGCAUGGUGGUUCACACCUGUAAAUCCUAACACUUUGGGACGUUGAGGCUGGAGAAUCACUUGGGCCCAGAAGUUCAAGACCACCCUGGGCAACAUAGUGAGACUCCUAUCUCUAAAAAAAAAAAAAAAAAGAAAAAAAAAUUAGCAAGGCAUGGUGGUGCAUGCCUGUGGUCCCAGCUACUCCCGAGAGUAAGGCUGAAGUGGGAGGAUCACUUAAGCUGGGGAGGCUGAAGCUGCAGUGAGUGGUGAUCGUAACACUGUACUCCAGCCUGGGCGAUAGAGUGAGACCCUGUCACACACACACACACACACACACACACACACACACACAUUUUAUUUUGAAAAUAUUAUAUUAAACGUGUUUUAAAAGAAGGAGAGGGGAAAUAUGAACAUGCAGAUUGGUCAUCACAGUUCCAUGAAGCACUUACAUCCCAGUAUCAACAGAAUUUUUAAUAAAUAAAUGGUGUGUUUGAGGAUCCAUGAAUGCAAAACCGCAUCUUUCUACUAACCACCAGAUUCCUAGUACCCAACACACUAUUUAUAUAGUUUUUAGAUGGUGUCUCACUCUGUCACGCAGGCUGGAGUGCAAUGGCACAAUCUUGGCUCACUGCAACCUCUGCCUCCUGGCUUCAAGUGAUUUUCCUGCCUCAGCCUCCCAAGUAGCUGGGAUUACAGGUUCCUGCCACCAUGCUUGGCUAAUUUUUGUAUUUUUAGUAGAGAUGGGGUUUCACCAUCUUGGCCAAGCUGGUCUUGAACUCCUGACCUCAGGUGAUCCACCCGCCUUAGCCUCCCAAAGUGUUGGGAAUUACAGGCAUGAGCCAUUGUGCCCGGCCUACACUACCUUUUAAGAAGGCACUCAAUUACUAUUUGAUGAGUAAAAUAUGACAACAUGAGUACUUCCUGGGUGCUAGGUACGACUUCAAGUACUUUAGAUGCAUUAACUCAUUCAAACCUCCCACCAACUUAUAAACUGUACUAUUAUAAUCACCUUAUGGGGUGAGUACCAUCACUAUUCCCAUUUUACAAAUAUAAAAAACUGAAACAUAAAGAAGUUAAGUAAUUUGGCAAAGUUACCCACCCUGGAAGCGGCCAUUGUCAACUAAUGUUCUCUCUAGGAGGAGUGCUGAGUGACUGUGUUAGCCAGGGCAUCAGUGAAUAAGUGACAGAAUAAUUGGGAGGGAGAGAGAGAUAAGGAGGGGUGGGGAAAUGACUUAUUUAAAAGACUGCUAUCAAACUCUAAUUUCAUUUUUAAAAAAUUUUAAAACAUAAUAUUCACCUAAAAAGAAACUGUAUUUGGAGAAGAGCACCGAAACUUAGAAUCAGGCUAUCUAAAUCUCAUUGUCUGUUGAAAUUCUUUUCAUCCAAACUAUGUGAGUGAAUUUUAAAAGACAGAAAAGUCCAGAGUUGAAAUGCUCACCAGUGGUUUUAAAGUCAUUUCACAGAGAGGCCUCGGAGAGUCUCAUUGUACUCCACAUUAUUCACAUAAAAGAACUUCACUUAAUUUUCCCCAGCUUCAAAGGAGAGCACUACUAAACAUUGGUUCAUAAAUCAGUAACUACUGAAGCAGAAGGCAAGACCAGAGAAAUAAAUUAUAUGCACAUAUAAAGAAAAGCAAAUAUUUAUGUCAGAAGGCAAACAAGUUUUACUUUAUGAUGUGUCUUGAACUUUUCCUCUAUUCUGAGAAACCCCUUGCAUUAAAAUAUUCAUUUUCCCAGCCUGGGCAACAAAGCAAGACCCCAUUUCAACAAAAACAAAAAUAACCUGGGCAUGGCAGCAUGAGCCUGUGGUCCCAGCUGUUCAAAAGGCUGCUGCAGAAGGAUCCCUUGAGCCCAGGAGUUGGAGGUUGCAGUGAGCUAUGAUUGUGCCACUGUACUGUAGCCUAGGUGACGGAGGGAGAGCCUGUCUUUAGAAAAAUAAAAAAAUAAAAAAUCAUUUUCCUUACUGUUAAGAAACAAACAAACAAAAAUAUAUAUUUUUUGAAGUAAGCCAGGACUUGUGCUCUCAGGACCUCUCAUGAGAGCUUUUAGUACCUGGGAUGCAUCAGUCACAAAGGGCUUCAAAUGUAGAUUUUUGGCACUGGUGCCUACUGAGCUUAGAUAUACAGUCACUAUAAUGGUGACUGAAAUGACAAUACAAUCAUUACGAUGUUACACAUGAGCCCUAUUACCAGACCACACACUCUACAAUACAAGACACUGAUAAUUAAUAUUUUUUAUGAGACCAUAAUUGUCUCGUAAUGGCAGUCACUCCACGUGGCAUAUUAUGUAGGCAUUAAAAGCAUUGAUUUAUUAGGUAUUGAUAUUUAAAAUAUACCAUCAUUUUUACAGCUGUAUUCUGGCAUUUCUUCCCUUUUUAAAUGCACCAUGGAAGUUGCCCAGGUGUCUCUGGACUUCUGCUCAGGGUGGAUGGCAUGAAGCAUUUCCCUGGUGAGAAGGAGAAAGGUCAAGAGCAGGACUCUGCCUUUUUUUCUGUAAAAUGCACCUUGCAGAUGAUAGACCUUGCACCAAAGAAGGGGCAUGUGGCAUGCCCAAAUGUCGGCCAAGAGAUAAGCAGAGGGUGGGAAUUAAAACCCCAGGCCAGUCUCAGGCUGAGAGGAUCAUGGAAGCCUUCUUCCUAAGUCAAGACCUCUUCCCAAAGCCACAGGAGAGGGCCGAUGCUCAGGGAACUCGACCAAGAGGUGCAGGCACUUGUUAGAGUAAAUCCAGCUCUGGUCAAAAUGGCACUGCAGGAAAAAUCUUCCUUCACUGUUUUAUUUUAAGUUACAUAGUGAAAGUCUCCAACCCUGCAAGGGGAGAAAGUGUUUUAAGAGAUUGGUCUCUGGAGGCAGACAGAUGCCUCGACUUACGAGACCUGAUACAAAUGAUAAACUCUAUGUAAAAUACAUACAUGCUAUCUCUUGAGCAUUUAAUACUGUAUUAGUCUGUUCUCACACUGCCAAUAAGGACAUACCUGAGACUAGGUAAUUUAUAAAGAAAAAUAGGUUUAAUGGACUCACAGUUCCACAUGGCUGGGGAGGCGGCACACUCAUGGUGGAAGGUAAAAGACAUGUCUUACAUGGCAGCAGGCAAAAGGAAAAAAUAAGAACCGAGCAAAAGGGGUUUCCCCUUAUAAAACCAUCAGUUCUUGUGAGACUUAUUCACUACCACCAGAGCAAUAUGGGGGAAACCACCCCCAUGAUUCAGUUAUCUCCCACCGGGUGCCUCCCACAACACGUGGGAAUUAUGGGAGCUACAAUUCAAGAUGAGAAGGGUGAGGACACAGCCAAACCAUAUGAAGUACUAACCACAUAUAUCUAAUACAGUCUCUCAUAUAAUAUUUUAUAAGUCUGUGAGGGGCUAUUAUUAUCUCAAUUUUACAGAUGAUGAAACUGAAGGCAAGUUGUUUGUUCAAUGUCAGGCAGGAUUUGAGAAACCAGAAUCAGAAUCUGAAGUCAGCAUAACUCCAAAGUUAUGCUUAAUGGUCAUAUUUUACCAACUCCUCAAAAAAGCCGAAGUGGGAGCCAAAAGGUUCACCUGCUUGCUAAAGCAGUACUGUCCAACAGAACUUGCAGUGAUGUUUAAAAUGUUCUACAGUGGAGCUAUCCAAUAUAGAAGCUAAAAGCCACACAUGGCUACGGAGCUCUUGAAAUAAAUGUGGCUAGUGUGACUAGGAAAUUAAAUUUCUUUUCUUUCCUUUUCUUUUUUUUUUUUUUUGAGAUGGAGUCUCACUCUGUCACCCAGGCUGGAGUGCAGUGGCGUGAUCUGCAACCUCCGCCUCCCGGGUUCAAGUGAUUCUUCUGCCUCUGCCUCCCAAGUACCUGGGAUUACAGGCACACGCCUUGAUGCCCAGCUAAUUUUUUUGGAUUUUUAGUAGAGACUGGGUUUUACUAUGCUGGCCAGGCUGGUCUCGAACUCCUGACCUCAAGUGAUCUGCCUGCUUUGGCCUCCCAAAGUGCUGGGAUUACAGGCAUGAGCCACUGCACCUGGCCGGGAAAUUAAAUUUCUAAUUCUAUUUCAUUUUAAUUCAUUUAAUUGUAAUUAUUUAGAUUUAAGUAGAAUAAACAUUGGACGGGGUAAGCUCUACAGCACAUAUAUAAUCUGUGGCUGUGCUUGCACUAAUAAGCGAGCAUUCCAACUCUCAGGCCAGGGCCUCUUCCACAAUACCAAACAUUAGGGGACCUGUGUACUAACUAGUUCUCUUAUAUAUACCCAUCAUUUAACCAGUCUGCACCUCAGCUACUGAUAAGCAACUCUGUGCUAAGUCACAAUGACUUCUCUAUCUUGCCUUUUUUUUUUUUUUUGAGAUGGAGUCUCAGUCUCUUGCCCAGGCUGGAGUACACAGUAGGGCGAUCUUGGCUCGCUGCAACCUUCACCUCCUGGGUUCAAGCGAUUCUCCUGCCUCAGCCUCUCGAGUAGCUGGGAUUAUAGGCGUGCACCACCAUGUGUGGCUAAUUUUUGUAUUUGUAGUAGAGACGGUGUUUCACCAUGUUGGCCAGGCUGGUCUUGAACUCCUGACCUCAGGUAAUCUGUUCACCUUGGCCUGCCAAAAUGCUGGGAUUAUAGGCGUGAGCUACCACACCCAGCCAUUACCUGUUUAUUUUUCAUAUACCUAUGUGCUAUAUUUCAAAUGAUCUCCAAAAGUAUGGCUUAGAGAGGCUAAGUAAUUUGUCCAGUGUCACACAGCUAAUAAGGGGCAUGACCCAGAAUUUAAAACACCUAACUUUUUGGCCCCAGCUUUUUAAAAGCUGGACCUUAAAGCCACCACUGUUUGCUUGUAUAAUUAAUCCCACCACUGUUCACUUGUCCCACCCUCAUCCAGAUGUGUCGGUUGCCCAGGGACAAGGCCAUGUGCUGAAGGCCAUGUGCUCAGCAGCUUUUCCGGGAAUGAUGGUCAGUUUGUAGUGACCCACUCUAGAGGCCAGUUCCUCUUUAAUCACCCGCACAUACUUUCAAGAUGACUCUCUGGAGUCCAGGGUGCUGCUUAAUAUUGGAAUAUUGCUGAGCUCACAGUUUAUUGAGAAGACUGAUUCUGAAUUUUUGGUCUCUUGGCCUGGUGCUGGAGCCAUCUGAGCUAUGCAGCCCGACACUGGAGUAAUUGGCAUGUCCUAUUAACACCUAAGCUUUUCCUUUAUGAGCACCCUUUGGAUUGCAAGCCAUCAAGUUUAUCUACCUAUCGACUCUUUGCAGAGGUGUCACAUGGUUCCCAGUUUCUGAUCCUGACCUGCAUUCUGAAAACAAAAUGAGGAACAAAGAAAGAGAAAGGAUAUUCAUUUCUUUGGGUACUUCAAGGUUCUAAUGAAUGAAACAGAAAUGCUGCCAUUAAAAUUCCCUGAAGCAAGACAACAGUGAGUUUUACUAGCACAUCACCAAAGAAGUUAAUCAGGUUUCCUUGGGGUUGCUGGGCUACGUUGCUUUGAAGAAAAAUAGCACUUCCCUGAAGAGUAAGAAUAGCUGAAACCACAUGUCCCAGCGAGCUUUCAGCCAACUGCUCCUGAAGGAAACGGAAUUUAACUGCGAGAAUGGUUUUUGUUGGAUGACGUUUUGAUUAAGCAACAGGCUACUUUUCCACCCCGGGAAUGUGAUCAUUUGAAGAUAGAUAUAUUAUGACCCAAAUAGAAGCUGGAGUAGAAGGAAGGGCUUGUAGGCUGAGGUUAUGCCUUAUUUGGUAAAUUACUAUAAGAAAAUUGAACUGGGUGAGUUUAAUAUUCAGUCCUUAUUUUCUGUUCCAGACAUCUUGAUAUCUCUGUGAGUAGCUGUGGGGGGUGGCGGGGGGGGGGAAGAAAAGAAAAAAACUUUGGCUGUUCUUUCUAACUUGACUUCUUUUUCCAGAAUUUUAAAAAAACGUGAGUGAGAUGGAUAGUUGGGCUCAGUGAAUGAAGGAAGAGAUGCUUUCUGAGUCCUCGAAAUUAUUGCUUUGUGAAUGAAGAAAUUAAGAGCUGAGCCAGGCGUGGUGGCUCACACCUGUAAUCCCAGCACUUUGGUAGGCUGAGGAGGGCAGAUCACUUGAGGUCAGGAGUUUGAGACCAGCCUGGCCAACAUGAUGAGACCCCGUCUGUACUAAAAAUACAAAAUUAACUGGGCGUGGUGGCGCAUGCCUGUAAUCCCAGCUACUCAGGACGCAAGGCUGGAAAAUUGCUUGAACCUGGGAGGCGGAGGUUGCAGUGAGCUGAGAUUGCACCAUUGCACUCCAGCCUGGGCAACAAGAGUGAAACUCCAUCUCAAAAAGAAAAAAAAAAAAAAAAAAGAAAUUUUGAGCUGAGUCACCCCAUUGUAGGAUUUCAGAUGACACUUGCAGUGAUGGAACUGAGGAUACUGUUAGGAAUGGGGGAUAGGAUCCCUGGGUUGGAAGUAUUUGGGGUAUGAUAGGAGAGAAAAAGGAAGUCCACCUAGGCUAGGAGACAGUCAGCUCCCUCCCCUGGCCUUCUCUUCCAAGCAUUCUAGGCUCCUGGAGAUUCAGCAGUGAGCAAGACAGAGCAGGUCUCUGCUCUUGUGGGAAGGAGGCAGAAUUUCCUACUUAUCAGUGUGGAUUCUAGAGCCACAAACUUCCAGACUUGGAUCCCAGCUUUACCAUUUAGUGGUUGUGUGUCUUGGACAAGUUACUUAACCUCUUUGUGCUUUAGUUUUCUCAUUUGUAAGAGGAGGAUAAUAUUCUUACUUGCCUUAUAGGCUUGUGAGAAACUGAAGUGCUUAGAACUGAGCCUGUCACAUAGUAAAUUUUCCAUACAGUGUAAGCUUUAGCUUUGAUCAGCUGCUAUUAUUAUAAAGCUUACCAUCUUGUGUGCACACAUAUGGCACGUAAUAGGCAUGUGAGUGAAUAAAUGCGGAAAAAAAUAACAGCUAGUUUUGAGAGAUAAUGGGUAAUGCAAUAGGUGUUAGAUGCACUGGUCAGGGAAGGCCUCUCUGGAAGUUAGAAACUUGAGACAGGACCUGGAUUUUGAGUAGGAGUUGGUCUCCUGGUGAUCUGGGGGCAGAGGACAGCGGGCAGAGGGAGCAGUGCCAACAAUUCACCGAGGCGGCAAAGAACGUGGCAGGUUUGAGGAAGAACUAGCAGAUGAAUGUGGCUCAAGUCGGGCACAAACAGGAGAUGGAGGCCUGUAGGGCCUUUCAGGUCAUGGAGAUGAGGUUUCUUUUUUUUUUUUAUUUGGUAGUGGCAGGAGGAUGGAGUCUCACUCUAUCAUCCAGGCUGGAGUGCAGUGGUGUGAUCUCGGCUCACUGCAACCUCUGCCACCCGGGUUCAAGUGAUUCUUGUGCCUCAGCCUCCUGAGUAUCUGGGACUACAGGUGUGUGCCACCAUGCCCAGCUCAUUUUUGUAUUUUUAGUAGAGACGAGGUUUCACUAUGUUGGCCGGGUUGGUGGUGAACUUGUGGCCUCAGGUGAUCCACCUGCCUUGGCCUCCCAAAGUGCUGGGAUUACAGGCAUGAACCACCGCGCCCGGCCGAGUUUUGAUUUUAUUAUAAGGGUGGCAGGUCCAGCUGAGCGGUGGCGUGAUCUGGUUUCGAAUACGCUGUUCUGGGACACUGAAAGCAUACUUACCUGUACCUAAGUGUGUUUUCAGGAUGAAGUCAAGUGGAGUCCUCGUAGGUUGAGGGUGACAGUGACAACAAAGUGAUGAUGUUGACAACCUUUCACAUAUGCCACUGCGGGAUGGUGGUGGGGCCAAAGGAUUAGACUCCAUGAUGACCUAUGGUCUCCUUUCCAAUGUUGAGAUGCCUAAAGCACAAGUUAGAUGGAAAGAAAACCUAUAACAUCACAAUCAUUUAUAAGUAGGUAUUGAGCAUCACUAAAAAGCCCAGGGUGCUUUAAUUGACAUUUUGGUUUCCUGGAAUUGGGAUUUGAAAGAUUACCUGCUGAGAUGGUUUCCAUUUCUUGUUAACUUGUAAUAUGUGCACAAUUUCUGCUUGAAAAUACCUGUAAGAGACACCACUGAGAGUGAAGCUGUCAUUUGAGGAUGCCUUCUACCUGUUGUACCUUUUGAACAAAGCAAGUGUGAAAGCAUGUAAUUUGAAUUAGGGCAGGUAAUAAAGCUUCUGCUAAUUUACGAUGACACUGCACAGCUUCUAAGUCUUCUUCAUGGUUUACCUGUGCCUUAAGCUAAGUGUGUUUCGAUUAAUUCUUGUAUGUAAUUGAGUUUGGUUCAAAGUCAAACGUGAGGGUAAUUAACUCCAGAACAUGAUCAAAAUAUUUUUUAGCCAUCGACAAACUCAUUAGUGAGAAAGGUCUUUUUUUUGUUUGUUUGAGACAGAGUCCCAGUCUGUCACCCAGGCUGGAGUGCAGUGGUGCCAUCUUGGCUCACUGCAACCUCUGCCUCCCAGGUUCAAGUGAUUCUCGUGUUGCAGCCUCCUGAGUAGCUGGGAUUACAGGAGCACACCACCACACCUGGCUAAUUUUUUGUAUUUUUAGUAGAGACAGGAUUUUGCCAUGUUGGCCAGGCUGGUCUUGAACUCUUGUCCUCAAGUGAUCCACCCUCCUCCGUCUCCCCACAGUGCUGGGAUUACAGGCAUGAGCCACCAUGCCUGGCCCAAAAAAGAUCUUUUAAAUAAAUUUUGUAUGGCCUACAUCUUAGCAUCCCUCAUCCCACUCCGUUUAAAAAAUGGCUAUAUAUAAGUAAUUACAUCAUUUAAGGUAUUGGUGAUGGUUUGCUUAAUUCGUGAAUAUCUUAUGACUUUUACAAUAUCAUCUUAUGUCACAUAGGGGUUGUCUAGGGAGGAGCAGCAAAAAGUCACCACCAGUGCAGAGAGACAUAGCCGAGUUCACCAAAUGUUCCUGGCUUCUUGGCACUCAGAGUAGAACUGGGAUGAAACACUUGCAAAGGACAACUUUGAAGGCACCAACCUAGGAUGAAGCCAUAAAUAAAGACUGUCCUUUGGAAUGGAGAUUCUCCAUCAUUCAGUAGCAACUGACUUCAGCCUGCUAUGCUGUGAGCAGUGCUGUGGAGAGGCGCACACAGUGAGGAACUGAAGCCCCCUGCUGACAGCCAUGCGAAUGAGCUUGGAAGAGUAUCCUUUGGACCAGUCAAGCUGUAGAUGACUGCAGCCCCACUAACACUGCAGAGGUGUGAGAGAUGUUGAGCCAGAACCACCCAGCUAGGCCAGUCUUGGAUUCCUGACCCACAGAAACUGUCAGAUAAUAAAUGCUUAUUGUUUGAAGCCAAUAAGACUGGGGUUACUUGUUACACAGCAAUAAAUAACUGAUACAAACUGGCAACAUAAGGUUGGUUAAUCCAUGCAUCCAUCCAUCCAUCCAUCCAUCCAUCCACCCAUCCACCCAUCCACCCAGCCACCCGCCCACCCGCCCACCCAUCCAUCCAUCCACUCCUCCCUCCCUCCCUUCUUCCCUCCCACUCUCCCUUCUUCCCUCCCACUCUCCCAUUUGCUCACUCUUUAUGCUUUCAACAAAUGUUUGAGGGCCUACUAUUUCCCAGGAACAGUGCAUAGUGAUUAGGAUGCUAAGAUGAUUGCCACAAUCCAUGCUUUGAAGGAGCAAAAUAUCUAGUUGUCUUCAGCAAAACAAGAGUUGAAUUCUACUUUGUUACUUUCAUAGUAUUAAAUUUGAAUUCUAGAAGUAAAUAAGAAAGAUUUUAUUUUUCUGUACCUUUCCUUUUUUAAUAUUCUUCAUGCUAAUUCUGAAAAAGGAACAAUCAACAUCCAUUUAAACCAUAUUUGAUGUAUACUAUAAAACUGAAUUUUAGAUGAAAUUAAUGCAAAGCAUAUUUUAUGGCAUCAGCAUUUAUAAAUUAUGUAAUGCUUUAAGUGGAUUAUUUGUCUUCACUGUUUACAUUUUUUUCCCUGAUUAUAUGAAUUGUUCUGAAAACAAAAAGGUACUAAGGAAUUUAAGAAAGAAAAUGAGACUUGGGUCAAAUAAAUAAUAAUAUUGAUAGAGUGCUUUCUCUAUGCCAUACUCUGUGCUAAGCAAUUUAUGUACAUUUCUUUUAUUAAUCCUCACAAGGAAUUGUAAGUAUUAUCCCUAUUUUAUGGAUAAUGAAACUAAGAUUUAGAAUAAUUAGGAACAAAGUCCAAAAAUCAGUAAGAAUUGAAGGUGAAUUUCAAAUGCAGAACUAAGCUCUUAGCUGCUCUGUUGUGCAUAUGUUUAUAUGGCUGUGUAGUGACAUGCAGUACCAUGCUUCGGGAGUGCAUAGUUUGGCUAGGAGACAUUCACUUAUACCAUCUCCUGUGUGUACACAGAGCCCUUAAAGCGUGGUUUGGCCAAAUUUGUAUCAGAGUAUCAUGGGAGCUGCAAUAGUCAGAACUUUAAAUGGUGUAUCUUAUUAAAUCGUGUACAACCCAAAGGAAAUUUUUUCUACUUCCCUUACAAAGGUACUGAAGAUGAAGAAAAAAGAGUAGAAAAUACCAGGUUAGAGAACUUAACAAAAAUUUACUUUAUCUCAUAACAUUUUGGUGACUGUUAGGAAAGGGGGCUGAGAUGAGUGAGAAUAGGGGGCACCUGUUCUGCUGAGAGGAGAACAAAUUGCCUUUUAUUUAUUUUAUUUUAUAUUUUAUUUUAUUUUAUUAUUUUUUGAGACAGGGUCUCACUGUGUCACCCAGCUGGAGUGUAGUGGCAUGAUCAUAGCUCACUGCAGCCUCCAACUCCUGGGCCCAAGUGAUCAUCCCAUCUCAGCCUCCCAAGUAGCUGGGACUACAGGUGUGAGCCACCACACCUGGACUGCCUUACUUUUCAUCUGAGUAAAAGUGUAGUUGGUAACCACCAGGAGGUAGUAUACUAGUGAAGUGGUUGGGAGAACAAGACUUGAUUGAUUGGCUCUGGCUUUCAUAGGAGCACCGCUGUCUUUCAUAUGUUUAACUUUCAUCAACUUGCUGGAACUCAUUUGAGCUUAUUUUCCAUAUAUAAAAUAAGAAUAAAACAAACAUGUUUUUGUGUUGUUCUGAGGAUUAAGUGUAUGCGUAUAUGUGCCUAAUAAAUGUGGACCGUGAAUAGUUGAGUAUCUGACUGCUUCUCUUGAUGUUUUUCCCCUUGUUGUUCUUCAUCGUUAUUCUUAUUGUUAGCAGCUGAUCUCACCCAGUCCUAGCCCUUCAGGGGGGAUCAUAAUGAUUUUAGCAAAAAUACAUGAUAUUUUGGACUGAAUAGAAACUGCAAAUAAAAGGAAGUGAAAUGGCUCUGGCCGAGUAAAGAUCAUAUAGUGCCUACUGCCCAGAAGUUGUUUACAUAAUAGAAACAAAGUUAAAAGGAAUACCUAAUUAAUUAAUUUAUUAUAAUUUUAAUAAAGGAAGAAACAUGUAUAUGUCACAGGCAUAUGUCUUAGACAUAGGAACCUGACUGCAUCAGAAAAUAUUUAAAACUACCAAGAUGUAGUCAAUUAACCAGCAAAAUUUCUUCUGCUGGACAUUUUCUAAAAUAUAUUCUCUGCUCCUUUCUCGCAAUAGUUAACAAUUUGAAUUAGCAACAAUGGCUUUAUGUUAUAAACCUCUUUCCACGGUCUUCUCUCCUUCACCUUCUUUUCUGCUGCUAGUGUGUGUGGACUUCUUGUCUGCUGUCUUCUGUCCCUGUCAGUUUUUCAAAUGAGAGAUAAGAACUGCUUUGCAAUGUGAGGUGGCAGAAUUAGGGACCAGUCAGGCUGCCAGGCUGGAGGAAGGUGGGCCUGAGCAAGCCUUGCCCAAGCACCUCCUUUCUUAUUUCCUAGAAUAGUCUGUUGCCCUUUGCUAGUUCUCUCAUCCCUGGCUAACAGCUUGUCCUAUUUGCCUUUGGAUUUUAUUAUCUGCUCCUUCUUGCUGAGGUACGACAUGAUUAUUAAGUGUGCCCAAGAGGAAACUCCAUUGAGCUCUUGGGGUGAAGCAGCGUAAGAAGUUUGCUCCUUAGGAAAAAUAAAAAUCUUAACUGGUUCUGGUCCUUGGUCACUGGUACAGAGGUGGAGAGAAGUAGAGCUGGUUAAAGUCCAGGGAAGUGUGUCAGGCAGGAAGCUGGGAGGGCUUCUCCCAGCAGGGUGCAGGAAGGCUUCUGUGUCUUGUGGAAGUGAUGAUGUGCCCGAGUCUGCUUCACGAGUCUUUGUAGAUGAUAACAGGGCUCCUGUGAGCCCUCAGGUUGUUCACAGUUUGUUUUCUUUGAAUUGCGUGAAAACAUGUGCUUGACUUGGAUGUAGAUUUUAUUUCCUUUCAGGGUGGAGGGUUGCAGACAGUAGAAGAUGUUGGCUGCCAGCUUGGAGUGACUGCCAGGGACAGCUGAAAGGGGAAAUUUAACGAGAAUGUUGAGGCCUGAAGUGCUUCAGGGAGCAUUUCAAAUUGCAUCUCUUUAGAAUCAGAUGGUCUCCAGAGAUCAUAAUGGGUUAUGAGAGGUGCCAGGGUUUGUUUUCUUCAGGCUCAACAUCACUUAAGACCAUAAUCCAUAGACUCUUAAGGAAUGAAGCACAGUUCUACAUUGGACCCACCUUCUUCAAGGAUCUGAGGCUUAGUGGACCUUUUAAAUAAUGAUUCAUCAAAUGUCAUAGUUCAUGGUUUUAUUUAUGUAUUUUUGAGACGGAGUCUCGCUCUGUUUCCAGGCUGGAGUGCAGUGGCACAAUCUUGGCUAACUGCAGCCUCUACCUCCUGGGUUCAAGUGAUUCUCCUGCCUCAGCCUCCCGAGUAGCUGGGACUACAGGCGCCCGCCACCAUGCCUGGCUAAUUUUUGUAUUUUUAGUAGAGAUGGGGUUUCACCAUGUUGGCCAUGAUGGUCUCAAUCUCUUGUACCCGUGAUCCGCCCACCUCGGCCUCCCAAAGUGCUGGGAUUACAGGCAUGAGCCACCGUGCCCAGCCUAUUUAUUUAUUUUUUAAAACUGAUCUAUCUGUAGUUUUAGAAUGCAGCUGAUCCUUAGCCACACUGUGGCAAGUAUUCAUUAUUCUUUCAAUGUUCUCUUGGUGGCAAAGCCAUGACCAUUGAGACUUAAUGUAUCUGACUCUUGCUAUAAACAUGCUGUGUAACAAACUUCCCUGGAACCCAUAACCUGCAACAGCAAGGAUCUCAUUCUCUCAGUCAUAGCUUUGUAGGGUAGCUUUACUUAGGGUGUGGGUUGGCUGGUGUUGGCUCCAGAGUGUGGGGUUGGGUUCAGGUUUGUUCCAUUUAUUUCUGGAGUAUAGGGAUGCUGUAAAGAAUUGUGAGCAAUGGUUCAGUCCACCAUACCAUAUUAAGCUUUCUUGAUUCUUUUUUUUUUUUUUUAACAAAAUUGUAAAGUAUACCUGACACAAAAUUUACCCUUUUAGCCACUUUUGCAUGUACACUUCUGUGGCAUUAGUUAUGUUUAUAUUGUUGUGCAGUCGUCACCACCAUUCCUCUCCACAACUUUUUCAUCUUCCCAAACUGAAACUCUUUAUCGAUUACAUAUUAAGUCCCCACUUCCUGGUACCCCCGAUCCCUGGCAACCAACAUUGUAUUCUAGCUCUAUGAAUUUAAUUAUUCUUGGUACCUCAUAUAAGUGGACUCAUAGAGUAUUUGUCCUUUUGUGAUCGGCAUAGUUCACUUAGCAAAAUGUCUUCAAGGUUAUUCACGUUGUAGCAUGUGUCAAAAUAGUGUUCUUUUUUAGAGCUUAAUAAAUAUUCUGCCAUGUAUGCACACCUCGAUUUGUUUAUUCAUUCAUCUGUUGAUGGACAGUGGGUUGCUUCUGUUUCUGCUCCUUUCUCACUGAGUUCCCAUUUUUCCUAUGGGUGGAACCAUCUGAGUUGGUUUAAUGACUUUUGCCAACCAAGACCCUGAGCCCAAUCCUAUUCAUUCCUUUAUUCAGCAAGUACUUAUUAAGCCCCCAUGGUAUGCUGGCAACUGUUCUAAAGGAGCUUAAAUGCUCUCAGUACUUAGAGCUGUGCUGUUAGGUGGUCGAGGGUUACAUGUGUCUAUUUAAAUUUAAUUAAUGAAAGUCAAAUAAAAAAUUUUAAAAUGCAGUUCUUCGAUAAUAGGAGCUGUAUUUCAGGUGCUUAAUAGCCCCAUAUGGCUAGUGGCUGCUGUUUUGGACAGCACAUGAUGGAUAUCUUCUUGCAGAAAGUUGUGUUGGACAGUACUGACUUAGAGGGUUUAGGGAAAGCCCUAUAGCAGUGGUAAAGAGCAACAACUCCUUAAACCACAAGCUUAUGAAGGGGUCACCUUGUGAGUGCAAGCGUGCUCUAGUUAUUCAGCCACAUUUGAGCCAAAAGCUAGGCAGUCAGCGUCCUUCCCCAGCACUUGGGAAGGUGAAUGAGCAAGCAGUUCAGUUUCUCCCAGGUCAGUGGCAAUUUUAUCCCCUAGGGAGCACUUGGCAAUAUCUGGAGAUAUUUUUGGUUAUUGCAACUACGAGGAGGGGGAAUGGAGGCCAGGGAUGCUGAUAAACAUUCUACAAUGCACAGGACAGCCACCCCCCAGCCCCUAACACAGAACCAUACCAGCCAAAAUGCCAGUACUUCCAAACUUGAGAAAUAACUCCGCUCCCGGUGAAAUGGUUACAGAUAACAGCUAGGAACUGUGAGAGCAAUGUUUUGUGGCAUGUGGAAGAAGCUACUAUUGUACAGUGAGAGGAAAUGAAGUCAUGAAGAUGGAGAGACUCCCCACGGUGUUCAAGUCUUCACUUCCCUUGUUCUCCAGACCAGCCUCAAUUCUUCCCUUGGGUUCUAUGAAGGACCUCAGUAUGAUAAUAACUUUACUCUUUCGCUUGAAUUACUCUGAGCUGAGUGUUAGCCUUUUGCUAAAUGUUCCUAAUACAGCAAAUUACGUAGUCCUUCUUUUGAUUGUAUCCCAUGUAAAACUUGGUCUACAAAUAUGCUCUCUGACUACCUUGGAUUUAAGGUCGUCUCAUCAAAUGUUUAGCAUACGAUAAGCAUUUAAUUGCAUGAAACUUACAGGGAUGUUAUGACUAAAUUUCAAACAAACCAUUACAUUUCCUAUGAAUAAAAGUUUAUUUUAAAUGGUCUUAUGUAGAAUAUUCGUAUAUAUGUAAUUUAAAGUGAGAAAACUGUGUAGAAUUAAAAAAUUCAAUCAUAAUAAAAAAGGGUAUAGAGUGAAAA